rnacentral:lncRNA from 1 species
UCCCUCUCCAGCAGAGAGUAUCACCUCCUGAUUUAGGAUCAUCAGGCUCUGUUCACUGGACCUGACCCUGCCUGCAGGAUUACAUUGCAAAGCUUUCACUCUUCCCCACCUUGCCUGGGGGUAAAUCUCUUCUGCGGAAUCUCAGAAAAUCAAAUUCCAUCCUAAGAAUAUUUCACCAAGAAUUUCCUUAGAAGCUGUGCUGGGUAAGUACACUAUUCAGAAUAAAUAUAUGUAUUCUGAAUAGUUCUCAUUUAGUUUGGCAAUUCCUACUGUGGAAUUUAGUGACACUGAAAUAAUAUUGAAACAUAUUCUCAUUUAUUUCACAUUUUAAAGAAACUACAGUGUAUUACUCCCAAAUGUAUACAAAAUCUAUUACUACUAGAUGUUAUUAUGCACAGUGAUAUUCUAGAAGAUAAAUUUAGCAAGUAAUAAAAAUCUAAAUGGAUUAAAAAGCAUACUUCUAAACAAAUAUCUUAAUCAGGAAACAAUGCCUUUUAAAAUUAGCUCUACUAUUAGCUAAGCUUAAAUUUUGACAGCUGGAAAACAUUUUCCCCCCAGGAAGGGUCUUUAAACUUUUAUACAGUUAGUACUCUGAGGGGGGGGGGGGGGGGGAGAAGAAUAACUACUUAUGGGGUCUUGGAGUCUCUGCAAAAUUGAACAAAAUGGAGAAUUAAAAAGAAAAGUAAUCACUUUGGAAUUAUUAUUAUAUGUGUCUUCUAUUUGCCUUUUAUUUGCACAUAUAUCUCUAGUAAUUGAACUAAUAGAAUUUUCACUGUUCAUUGUGGCCAGAUGUGCUUAAGUCUCUCUCUUACUAACCCUGAAUUGUUUCCGCUGUAUCUGAUCAGGGGGUGGGCUACAAAAGAAAAAAAAUCCCAGCUAGGAUUAAGAAAAUGUUAUUUCCACAUUAAGUAUAAUUUUACAACUCUUUAGCUAACAAUGCAUUGCUUCAAUUUCUCUGGUAUCUCUCUGCAAGCUUUUGGGGGGACGGCGUGAAAUAGAGAUAACUGUGAAUAAAGAAAAGUGACAAAGUUUUUCCAAAUAAGUAUAGCAGAUUAUUAAAUAGAGAAUUUAAAGUGUGUAUUUUUUAAAAAAGAAUUUCCAGAAAAAAACUUACAGUAAUGUUGAGAUGAAACAUCUGUUAAUGCUUCCUUCACCAGUACAGACUGUCCAGGACUAUUAAGAAACUAUUGUCUACUUAAGUGUUGGUAUAGAGAUGUCACAAAUUUGUUACUAAGAAAAAUUAGAUGUCAGAUUUGGGUUCAAAUUAUAUUGAUUGAUAUAAUUUACUUAUAUAAAAAUUAAGUGUCAGAUUUGGGUUCAAAUUAUAUUGAUUGACAUAAUUUAUCUGUGUCUAUAUUCUUUCUUACCUAUGUAAUUAUACUGUGCAGAAUGUCCUUCAGUGGAGAAAUCCUGUACUUAAUCACCCAUAAUCUGGCACAUUAACAGUGUACAACAAACUUAUUCUGAGUAACUCCCUCAUAAUUUUCUACUCAAUUUUUCCACAAAUUUCUCCAAAUAAUGGAAACUUCAAUUAAGCCUUUUAUUUUGUGAUUCUUAAAAAUAUUGUGACUGAUUUCCUAUCGCCUUUCAACCAUUAAUUGUUUUGAAUGCCCUGACACAUGCGUAGAAUUAGAAAAAGUGUUUUUAGAAUGUGACUUUGUAAAUAGCCAUUAGGUAAUUAGGGAAGGAAAUGAAAAGAACACAUUAAAUGCCUAACCCAAUGCCAUGGGUUAGUAAUAAAAAUUAAAAUAGCAUUAUUUUUAAUUUAUAUUAUUUUCUUAGAAGGAGAUAUUAUAUUAAUAUAAUAUUUUUAAUAAGGCACUCCCCACACAUAUCUAAUUUUUAUUUAAUUGCUAACCAAAAACCCAUAAUUUUCUUCCAUAACAAUUAAAUUUUUGUUAACUGUACUAAUAGUGUGGUUUAUAAUUUUUAUUUUCAGAAAAUACUGUUGAGAAACACUAGGUAACGAAUUUUGAAGGUCAUCAGGCAAAGACUUAUUAUUUGAGAAAAUAAUUGAACAUUUUAAAUAAGAACUCAUAUUAUUAUAUUCUAAAGUUUGUUUUCUUUAAUGAUAAGAGAGUAUCAGAGGAUCAAUGCAUGCUUUCAGCCAUAAAGAAUUCACUUAUUUUUCUAGAUGCUAUGGGAUCGUAAAAGCAAUGCAGAGUCUAAGGCCAGUUAUAAAUAUGGAAAAUGAAACAUAGGGUUGAGAAAUUGUAAGAAUAAUGUGAGUUAAGGUCUGUUUUACCUGCAAUAUUCAGUUAUCUUUAAGAGAUAUGCUUUUGGUUACCACUACAAGGUCUUUCCCCCCCUAAUAUAUAUUAGCACAUUCCAAAAUAUUGUUUUAUUAAACUAUGUAAAAAUGUUAAAAUAUAUAAAACUACUCAUUCAAUUUGAAAAAAAGAUUGGGAAAACAGGAAAAUAAAAAAGAAAUUAGAAUUGAUUCUGUAGUUUUAAAAAUGAUGUUAAAUGAAUGACCACCGUGUAUAUACUUUACCUACUGGUGAUGCCUAGGAUACGUUUAAAUGGAAUCAACACCCUAGCAUAUUUAUGAGAAUCUUCACAUUCAUCGUAUAUAUUUACCAUUAUUUUGUACACACCAAAUUUAUUUCAGUAAGAAAUUCAAAAUAAUAUUAAGACAAAAAAAGAUGAUUUUAUAUGCUUUAUGCUAAUGUGGAUAAAUUAUUUGAUAAACUCAUAAAAUUAAUCAAACUUCUGUUAAUAAUAUUAGUAUAUAUUUCUAACUUGCAUCAUUUUUGUAACAAAUAUAACACUAUGUUGCUUUCAACUUUUCUCUCCAUGGUUAAAAUUUGAUAGUACCUUAAUUUUUAAGAAUUAUCUUACAGAUAUUUAUACGAAAAUUAACAAAAAAAAUUAAAGGAUCAAAAUAUACAUUCAUGAAACAAAACUGAUUUUAUACUCUAUGUAUGAUUUUGAACACAGCUUGAAAAAAUAAUUCUGUUUUAGAGAUAUCAUGAUUACGAUACCAACUUUUCAAAACACAAAUAUGUUCAAAAGACAUUAUUUGAAGUCAUUGGCUUUAUUCUCUAUCUUAUCUUUGUUUCGUAUUCAGAGAUGCUAUUAACCCCAAAACAUAAGUUAUAUCAUUGCAAUGGUGUUAAUGAAAGACACUCAGAGUCAAAUUUGUAACACCUCUGUGUUCUUGACUCAAUCAGACUAUCAGAGAAUACACUUAAUAUGAAAAGCCAGUACCCAGCUAUAUAAAACAUUUGUCUGUAUCUGGGUUUAAAGCCCACGCGUGAACCAUAAACAUUUAUAAUUUCUUAGGAAAGCUCUCUUUUUCUACCAAAGUACUUCUACCCUGCUGCAUUAUUAAAUUAUUUCAAAAAAUCUGCUCAUUUAAUAUAAGAAAAUGUUUUGAUGAAGUUAUGGAAAAUAAGAAUGCACCAGAAACACAAGAUCAGGGUUACAUACCAACAAGAUAUUUCAAUCAUUUCCCCAUUUAUUCACAUAAACAAUCAUUCCUAUCCAAAUUCCUUCAUCAAUAGCAGUUACACACCUCAAAGUAUCUUGGGACUCCUGGGGGCGGGGUCAGGCAGUUAAACAACUGACUCUUGAUUUCAGCUCAGGUCAUGAUCUCACAGUCAUCAGAAUGAGCACCGCAUGGGGCUCUGUGCUGACAAAACGGAGCCUGCUUGGGAUUUUCUCUCUCCCUUUUUAUCUGCCCCUACUGCACUCUUUCUCUCUCAAAAAUAAAAUAAAAUAAAAUAAAAUAAAAUAAAAUAAAAUAAAACCUUAAGAAUAAAAAGUAUCUGGAUGAUUUUCAUGCCUUAACUUUGAUUUACCUCCCUGUAAUUUGGUUCAUAACUUGGAAGAUGUAUAGUCUUAAUUAGUAUAAAAUCGAAGAAGUAAAAGGUGGACUGCAUUUAAUUGUACAGUUUGAAAUGUAAAUACUGAGCUAGUGUGAUUUAAGAAGAACAUAUAAUUAGAUAUAUGAUAAUUAAGUCAACAAACCUAUUUAAAUAACAGGAAAUAUAUUUUCAUACAUUAUAUUGCCAUUUUGUUUAAACAGGAAAGUCUUCAAUAAAUCUAGAUUAUUAUUUUUUCAUGUCUAAUUAGUAUUAUAAUAUUGUUCAUUAAAUCAGAUUAAUAAAAUAAUCUGCAUUUUCCAGUAUUUGUGUAAUCUUAAAUCUAAUUGUUUUUACUUCAAUUAUUUUACCAAAAAUUGAAGACAUGAAUUUAAUUUUUAACAAAACAAUAAAAGUCUUAUUAUUAUUUAAAAAUAAAGUAGAAUCACUUACUGUGAACUGAGUUAGAGUCUAUGUUUAUUAGAUUAUUAGUACUAAUUAUCAGAUGAUAAAUUGCAAAUAUUUUCCUAGAACCUGUUUCCUCCUUUUUUUACCUUUAGUUUGUUUACUUAGAAGAGACAGUAUUAUGCAGUAUCAUUUGCAAAUGACAGUAUCAUUUGCAAAAUGGUCAAAAGAGUGUAUUCGUUUUUAAAAUGUAAGACUUUUUUUAUUACUUCACGCUUUUAAUUAAAUAUAUAUAUUUUUUUACCUUGGUAUCAAAAGGGCAGAAAACUCAACCCAACACAGACAUAAAUAAGUGAGCAAAUAAAUAAAUAAAUAAAUAACCAACCUAUCUCUAUGGUAUCAAGGCUAUACUAUAGCUCAAUGCUUUACUGAGGUGGUUGGAUAGAGUCAAAUUUUCAGAGACAUCGUAUUCCCCUUAACAUGCGAAUAUAUUUUUUAAUUAAAAGAUGUUAAUAUGGUAUAAACUUUUAUAUAAAUCUGUCAUUAUUUCCCUAUUCAGGUUUAGGUUAAUCUGAGCCCAACCAGGUUUCCAUAAAACCAUGGUGACUCCUGAACAUGUCAUUUGGUCUAUUAAAUAACAGUGAUACAGUGAAAUGGCAACUAUGUGGUUUAUAAGAGUGCUGCUUCUCCUCACAGAUUAGUCACAUAGAGGUUUAUUAGCAUAUUCGGGAGCACACGGGUGUUUUAUCAAUCAAAACUAAAAUAAAUUUGUUUUAUAUCCAAGUAUCAAUUUCAUAAAUUCUACAAAUGAAUAUUAAUUGAAUCCAUAUCCAUUGAUUAACAUGAGACCAAAUGUUGUUUAGAUAUUUUGUGCAUAAACCUCAAUUUUGCUUCCUUUCCAAGGAUAAUAUGAAGGGAAAAUGGGAACUUUGGUAAGUACUAGAGAAGAAUAAAUUAUGUUAUAACUGAAAAUAAGGAGGAUUAAAGCUAUGGGAAAAGAUGUCAUCAGUACAAAAUGUGUUUUUCUGUUUUAUUUUCUUGUUUUUUUUUUUUUUAACUCUAGUUGUUUUCAAAUGUGAGGCAAAAGAGCAGACUUGAUUUCACUUAGGUAAUGGAAACCUAAUAUUAGACUUCCAUGUUUAAAUGUUUUAUUAAUCAGUCUACAUAUGUCUUUGAAAAUUUAUUUUCAAUGAAUUUUUUUUUAUUUUAAAUCUUUCUUAAAAUGUGCCAAUAUACUUUUUUAGCUAAGGCAAAAAAUAUAACCUAUGCAUUUGUAUUUUAGAAAUGUAGGUAUAAUCACUGUUUGAAGCAACUGCCUGGAAUGGAGUAUACUUCAGACAGUAUUCAUGUCAUAUACAGUUAGGACAUUGCUACAUUUGAAAUCUGUUAAACAUAAUUUCAUUAAACUCCCAGUUAACUAACUAAAAUAUCUUGGAACUUGUCAGGUUUAUUUUCGUAAAUGUAUAUAUUUAUUGUCAGCUUAAUCCUCUGGUCCUUGACAUUAUUAGAUGAAGAUACAUUAUUGAAUGCACAUAUCUUAAUAUCCCUGAGGGAUAAAUAACAUCAUUUAUUAUUAUUGUUGUUGUUGUUAUUAUUAUUAUUAUUUUGCCUCAAAUAGGAGUGUCAGCCUUCUCUGCUGCAGUACUCUCUCCCAAUGUCAGCAGUGGGUGAAUUUUUCCAUACUGCACUUAUACAAGAGAACCCCUUUUUAAAGGAUGGCUUGCUCUGUUGAGAUUAUUUAGUUAAUUUCUUUGAGGACUUGCUCUGUGCCAUGUAUAUAUAUAUUGUUAGUUACUCAUAUAUAAACUCAUUUAGCCUUCCCCAAAGCCCCAAGAAAUACUAUUAUCAUUAUUAGUAUUAGUAUUAGUAUUAGUAUUAGUAUUAGUAUUUGCAGAUAAGAAACAUCAAAAACAAGAGAACUUUUAAGUAAUAUGCCCAAGAUCACAUAACUAUUCAAGUGGAGGUACCAGGAACUGAAUCCUGGCAAUCAGGCUCCAGAGCUCAUGCUCUUAAUCACUCUGCUUCCCUUUCCAAUUGGUUGCUGGUCUCUAGUCACCCCUAGUGUGAAUGGAUGCUGUUCCUAGAACCUUAGGUUUUAAGUGCAGAUAUAUUGUGAGUUUUGUUCUAGUUUAUCUCAAUAAAGUGAAUAUCACAAUUAAUAAAGGAAGUCAAACAAAUCUUUUGGUUUCCCAGUACAUGUAAAAGUUAUGGAAACAGUAUAGUGCAAUAGCAUUAUGUUUAAAAACAACACAUAUAUCUUAAUUAAAAAAUACUUUACUGCUAAAAUAUACUAAACAUCAUCUGGAGGCUUGAGUGAGUUAUAAUCUUUCUGCUGCUGGAGGGUCUUGCUUUGAUGAUGAUGGCUGCUGACUCAUCAGGGUGGUGGUUGCUGAAGGUUGAGUGACUGUGGCAAUUUCUUAAAAUAAGUCAAUGAAGUUUGCUGCAUCCACUGACUGACGAAUGAUUUCUCUGUAGCAUGAGAUACUGUUUGAUAGCAUUGUACUAUAGUAGAACUUCUUUCAAAAUUGGAGUCAACUCUCAAACCCUGCAUCUGCUUUAUCAAUUAAGUUUAUGUGCUAUUCUAAAUCCUUUGUUGUCAUUUCAACAUCUUCACAGCAUCUUCAUCAAGAAUAGAUUCCAUUUCAAGAAACCACUUUCUUUGCUCAUCCACAAAAAGCUCAUCUGUUAAAGUUUUAUAAGAUUAGAGCAAUUCCAUCACAUCCUCAGUCUCUACUUCUAAUCCUCUUGCUAUUUCUACUACAUCUGCAGUCACUCCUCCACUGAAGUCCUGACUCCCUCAAAGUCAUCCUUGAGGGUUGGAAUCAACUUCUCCCAAACUCCUGUGAAUGCUGAUAUUUUGACCUCUUCCCAUGAAUCAUGAAUGCUCUUAAUGACAUCUAUAAUGGUGAAUCCUUUCCAGAAGGUUUUGGUUUGCUUUGCCUAGAUCCAUCUCACUAUCCAUGGCAGCUGUAGCUUUAGGGAAUGUAUUUCUUUUUUUUUUUUUUAUUUUUUAAAUUUUUUUUUUUUCAACGUUUAUUUAUUUUUGGGACAGAGAGAGACAGAGCACGAAUGGGGGAGGGGCAUAGAGAGAGGGAGACACAGAACCGGAAACAGGCUCCAGGCUCUGAGCCAUCCGCCCAGAGCCCGACGCGGGGCUCGAACUCACGGACCGCGAGAUCGUGACCUGGUUGAAGUCGGACGCUUAACCGACUGCGCCACCCAGGCGCCCCUAGGGAAUGUAUUUCUUAAAUAAUGAGACUUGAAAAUACUCCGUCAUCCAUGGGCUGCAGAAUAGAUGCUGUCUUAGCAGGCAUGAGAACGAUAUUAGUCUCAUUGUACAUCUCCAUCAGAGGUCUUGGGUGACCAGAUGCAUCGUUAGUGAGCAGUAACAUUUAGAAAGGAAUCAUUUUUUUCUGAGUAGUAGUUCUCAACAGUAGGCUUAAAAAAUUCAGUAAAUGAUGUUGUAAACAGAUGUGCCAUCAUCCGAGUUUUAUUGUUCUAUUUUAUAGAGCACAGACACAGUAGAUUUAGUAUAAUUCUUAAGGGCUCUAGGCUUUUUGGAAUGGUAAACGAGCAUUGGCUUCAACUUAAAGUCAUCAGUUGCCUUAGCCCUCAACUAGAGAGUCAGUCUGUUCUUUGAAGCUUUGAAGCCAGGCAUUGACUUUUCCUCUCUAGCUAUGAAAGUCCUAGAUGACAUCUACCUGUAGGAGGCUGUUUUGUCUACAUUUAUAAUCUGUUGCUCCAUGUAACCACCUUCAUUAAUUAUCUUAGCUAGAUUUUCUAGAUAAUUUGAUGCAGUUUCUGUAUCAGCAGUUGCUGCUUCACCUUGCACUUUUAUAUUACAGAGAUGGCUUCUUUCCUUAAACCACAUGAACCAACCUCUACUAGUUUGAAACUUCUUAUUCAGCUUCUUCUCCUCUCGCAGCCAUCAUACAAUUGAAGAGAGUUAGGAUCUUGCUAUCUUGCUCUGGAUUAGGCUUUGGCUUAAGGGAAUGUUGUGGCUGGUUUGAUCUUCUGUCCAGACCACUAAAACUUUUUCCACAUCACCAAUAAGACUCUCUAGCUUUCUCACUCUUUGUGUGUACCCUGGAGUAGCACUUUUAAUUUCUUUCAGGAACUUUUCCUUUGCAUCUGCAACUUGGCUAACUGAUGCAAGAAACCUGGCUUUUGACCUAUCUCAGCUUUCAACAUAUCUUCCUAAGUUUAAUCAAUUCUAGCUUUUGAUUUAAAGUGAGAGACUUGUGACUUUUCCUUUCAUUUGAACACCUAGAGGCCACUGUAGGAUUAUUAAUUGGCCUAAUUUCAAUAUAGUUAUAUCUCAUGGAAUAGGAAGGCCCAUGGAAAGGGAGAGAGAAGGGGGAGCAGAGAGGAUACACACACUUAUUAAGUUCAUCAUUUUGUAUGAGCAUGGUCAGUGGUGCACAAAACACUUACUAUUGGUAAUAGGAAAGAACACUGAUCCCAGAUCACCAUAACAAUAUAAUAAUAAUAAUGAAAACAUUUGAAAUAUUCAAUUACCAAAAUGUGACAUAGAGACAGGAAGUUAGCAAAUGCUGUUGGACAAAUGGUACUGAUAAGCUUGGUACAUGCAAUGUUACCACAAACCAUCAAUCUAUAAAAAAUGCAAUAUCUGAGAAGCACAAGAAAAUGAAGCACAAUAAAAUGAGAUAAGCCUGUACAUAGUAGGUAGAAUUUGCAAUUGGUAAUGUCCCAUCUUUCAUUCUGUAUGCAUUUCCUUCCACUAUGUUCCUUCAUCUAUACUUGCUUAACCCUCACUGUCCUCUAAAUCAAAUGCCCAGUAGUUACUCUCUAGCCUCCAGUAGUCAAGAGUUGCUUGAAAAACAAAGAUUUUGAAGAAUUCUUUCUUCUUCAGAAAACCUCAUGUUUGCUAUUUAGCCUUCAAGCAAUUGGAUGUGACCCAUACACAUAUCUAGAUAAUCUCCUUUAUUUAAAGUCAAUUGAUGGUAAAUGUCAAUCACAUCUACAAAAUAACUUUACAGAAACAUCAAGGCUAAUUUUUGAUCCAACAACUGGUCACCAUAGCCUGGCCAAGUUAACGCAUACAAUUAAACAUUGCAAGCAGUUAAGGGCAUUCAUCCAUAUUUGCUCUUUUUUUCCCAAAAAUUAUUUAGGUUUUCAAAUUUUGGAAACUCUUCAAACUUUCUGCUGGAAUGAUAGUUGGAAUUACAAUGAAUUUAUUAGUUGAAUCAAAAAUUAGUAAUGUCUUAAAAAUGUUAAGUCAUCCAACUAUGAGCAAGAUAGAAAUUCUCCAGUUACUCAGGGCUUUUUGUUUGUUUGUUUUUUUGGAAGGGGGUAGAAUCUGAUUUGGUUCUUUUUUUUUUUUGAUUUGGUUCUAAAUGUAAGUAGAAGAAAUAUUUAAAGCAAUUAUAUUAUAAAUGAGGGAGACUAAAAGGAUAUAAGUUUUCUACAUUCCACCCCCUCCUGCCACAACGGUAGCAUGUUUUUCCCCUAUAUGGUUCACAUAAGACCUUCCAAGAUUGCUCAUCCUUUUAUGAAAUUAAAGUCUGUUCUCUUUGCAGUAUAUUUUAUCUGGGGAACUUUCCGUUCAUAUCAGAAUUUAAUACUGUCAGAGAACAGUUGUAUUUUAAGUUAUAUGACUUCUUGCUAUUAAGGAGUGCUAGGGUUAAACAGAAUGAUCCUCAGUUUAGCAAACACUCACAACGUGCCAGGCCCAAUGCUAGAUGUUAAAGGUAAGCAAGACAGGACCCCUGCUCUGGACAACAUCAGCUCCACCUCAGUGCUGUGUAACAGUGCCGAUUAAACUAUGAACUCUUCAUCUAUACUGCUGGCCACCACUCUACUUUUCAUCUUGUCAUAAGAUCAGGACUGAAUGCCUGAGCUAGAAUGUUUUGUAAAGUGACAAAUCUUGAUAAAUCAGAUAUUUUCUGUACAUAUUUAUUAUAUUUGGGAAACCUUGGGUUACAGAUGAAACAUUACAAAAAAAAAACCUGAAGUAAAAAACAGUCUAACGGAUUCUACUUAGCUCACAAUUGUAUGUGCUUUGGCUAAGAUAUUCUGAAAUCUCUUAUUUUCAACUGCUUCUAAUGUAAUUUGGAACUUUCAUACUUUAACAGAAAGAUUUCCUUGCAUCUAAAUCAAUUACAGAUAUCAUGGUUGGGUAUCAGAAAUUGUUUACUUUUAAGAGAGAAAGAAUGUGGUUAAAGAAAGAUAUUCUUAAGAAUAAAGCUUUGAAGCAUGAUUGGUUUCAUUAAUUUGAACAGGAAGGGCUUCAAAUGAGAUAUGAGCAAGCGUUAAAGUCUAGAACAAACUGACAGGGGUAAAGUCCAUAAAAUGAUUUUCUUAAAUAUUGUUUAAUAUUUUUAUUAAUUGAAUUCCUCACAUGAGUUAACUUCCUUAGUUAUACAUUUUCCAAAAGGAUUUCCUGUGCUGUGUUCCAUGUUAUCAGUUCAAAAUUAUUAGAAAACACUUACUGAGUCUUUUUGAUCAUAAAAUUAAUACAUGUCCAUACUUAAUGAACCAGAUUCCAGCCUACUUCCUUCAAAAUAAAUACACCAAAGUUAACAAAGAGUUUAUGUUUGAGUCAUUGUAUAACUCAAACACCCUUUAAAAACCCACUAAUUAUGUGAUUUUUCAGAUUAACUCUGAAAGCUGAUUAUUCACUGAAUUCUCAAGUGUCAUAAAAGACUACAUAUUUAAGGUUACAAAGUCUCAACUAUAUCACUUCUAGUAUCAUCCUUACCAUUAAGGACUACAUGUUCAAAACUUUUCAUGUUACAUAGCGCUUCUGAAGCUAGAGUCCUGAAUAAGCUACAUAAAUCUAGUUAAUGGGUUUCGAACUUAGAAAUAGGAGAUUCUAGCUCAUUGUGUCUUCAGAGGGUUUCAUUAAGUAUAACCACAAUGUAGGUCUUGAAAUAGCAUCUGCUUUAAAAAAAAAAAAGUUAGAUUUCUACAUUUAGACAACAUUCCACCCCUAAUUACUCAAAAUCAUGUAGACUUCAAGGAUAGUUCUCCAUUCUGGCCUAUGUUUUUGCUCCCAGUUACAACUGCAUAGUUUUAUAAUCAUGGAAGGGACACAACCUGUAAAUACAAUAUGUGAGAUUUUCUGUCUUUCCUAUCAAAUCCAACUUGAAUGAUUCUUUAGAAUUAAAUUUGUAGUAAACAACAAAGAUCGUUGUGCAUCAUAUUUAUUGAUACAAGAUUAUAAUAGCAAUUAAUGAAAGAGUACUCAUUUGAAUGAACUAAGUAACUUUUUAAGUUUAUUAUAUCUCCUUUACUCUUCAUCACAUACUCAUCAUUACAGCACCUGAAUAAAAACAAAAUGAAUAAAUAAAUAAUAAAAUGUUAAUCUUUAUUACUGGUGGGCCUAUAGUUCCUGGAUUCCAGGCUUUAGUAUUUCUUCUUUCUUCAUCUCCAGGCAAAUUUAUUUCUUAUUAAAGAAGUAAAUUCUGAUAUCAACUGGCAUAAAAUUAAAGGAAUGCAAGCACAUUAUCUGAAACAAGAUUAAAAAUUAUCUGUGGGUUUCUUUUAAAGAACAUAGAAUGCUCUUUUCUCAGAAAUCCAUUGCUGGCCUUUGCCAGAUACAAACUUCCCUAUAGCCUUUGCUCAGAUACAAACUUUUUUCUGGAACCUAACCUCUUUAAACACAGUUACACCUACACGACCAUAACCCUUUUGCUCAUUGUCAUUUAUUUUUGUUUGUCCUAGCUUUUUCCUAAAACGCCAAUCACAUUGCAACAAAUCAUCAACUACAAUUUACAUAUUUUCUGUGUUAUUGUCCAUUUUCUGUCCAUUAUCUCUAAGCUCUACAAGUACAAGCACUUCUUCCUGCUUUUUUUCCCCCACUAAUAUAUCCUAAGCACCUAGGUAAGUGCCUAUACAAAGUAGGUGCUUAAAAAUUUCUUAACAAAUGAUUAAUGAAUGAAUAUGUUUCUUUGUAUCAGUCUCCACGGAAAACUAGAGAGAGACUCUACGUGAUUUUGUCUGCAGUAUCCAAUAGAUUCUAGAGCUGAAAUUUUGAAGGUGUUGUAAACAUGACCCAUGGCCGAAGAGAAAAUACUCAGAAACUAAUUAUCAUUUUGUUAUUCUUAGGUCAACCUAAUAUUUAUUCCUCCACUGCCUUUGUAAAGGGAAAUAAAUUAGUAAAGAUGCUUUUCUGUAACGUAGUCAGUGUUCAGGUUUCACUGAAUUCCAAGGAGUGACCUUUCAAACUAGGGUAAAUGAGAAGGUUGCUUGGUAUUUUAGCACAAAAUGUUGAAGCAUUUCCCCAAAUGGCCAAACAAUGGCUGAAUUUGGCAGAAUUUCUUGUUGAAACUGGCAGACCUGCCAACUGUUGCCUCCCAACAAAAGUCUUAACUCCAUUACUUAUUGCCUUUCUGGACAAUAACACUCAAAUGUCUAUAGAAGGAGAAAAAAACGCAGCAGUGGAAUUUAGAGGAAAGCAAAUCAAUCUUUUAAAAAAAUACAUAUGGCAAAAUAGAAAUUCUGUUUAAUUUACAAAAACUAUACCCCGUUUGAUAAGUGAUGAGUUAUGCACUUGAAAAUUCACAAUUUAUCAAGCUUUUAAGUGUUGAUUUAUAAAUAUUUAGAGAUAAUUCUAAAAAGAAUGCCAACUGUCAAUGCCCUUUCAUCACUGUAUAGUUUUUGAAAUUUUCUAAAUGUAAAACCAAAGGACUAUUUUAUAACGUGAAAUACAUAUUUAUCAUUAAAUUAAGACAUGAUUUGUUUGAGAGCAUCAUGAUGGAUUUUCACAAAAUACAUCUUCUGAAUUGACUCAACUCACAAAUUAUAACAACACUUGUUUUUCUAAUGUAGAUUCUCCAUGUGUUGAGAUUCAUAUAGUAAAUUUUAUUUUCUUUUAAAACUGAGGGCUAGUCAUUCAUUCACCUAGAAAUACCAUAAUUAGGUUUUUUCUUCUGAGCCCAGAUAUUCAUAUCAUCUAUGAAAAUGAUAAUUUUCCUUUGAGAAAGACUGAUUCUCAAAUUAUGCUCAUAGUAUUCAGAGAAAAUAUGUAUAUAAAAUGUGUUGUAGUUAUCUUACUGUCUUUCAACAUAUUAUCUAAUAACUCACUGACUGAACUUUAAACCACAAGCAACAAGACUAUUUGGAUUAAACAACUCUCCAUUUUAAAGGAAGUCUUGCUCAAAACAUAAAAGUAAAUUGUCAAAUAGCUUCUCCUUUCAACCAUCCUUUCCUAUGCUUUAACUCUUUGAACUUCCUGACACUGUUGGAUAUGGUCAUUAUCAAAUAAUGCACUUAUAAUAAAAUUUUUAUUACAAAAUAUAAGUGAUAACAAUGCCCUUUAAGAAACUGUAUUUUUUAAGGACUAGCCAGCAUUCAAUUUAUUUCUGGUAUGUUUAUAGAUAGCAUAGCAAACCAAUAUUCUGCAACACAUUUUCUUUGUCCCAUGUAGCUUAAAAUAGACAAAAUUAAUAAUAAUAAAAUAAAGCUCAGACCAACAGAGUGACAAUUUUUAAUCUAGAUGAGCUUGAUGAAAGGGUGGAAAAUGCACUUAAAAAUAAACUUUAUAUCAAUAAAAGCCCUGACAGAAUUUUAAAUUCAAGUACUUUGCACUAAAUUAGAGUACAGGGCAGCCUGGCUGGCCCAGUUGGUAGAGAAUGUGGCUCUUGAUCUCAGGGUUAUAAGUUUGAGACCAAGUUGGGUGUAGACAAAAUAAAAAUAAAUUGUUAAUAAAUAAAUAAAUACUUUCAAAAACCAGAGUGUGCAAAUGACUAAUUUCUUACAGUGAGCAGACAUACAUCAUACGUUUUCAAGCUAGUAUCUGUCCUUACAAUGACAAAUAGAUAUUCCCAGUAGUCUUUUUUUUCCCCCAGUAGUCUUAUUCAGAAAGAAGCAGGGCCAAAAUAUUUGUUCUUUCUCAUCUAGAUUCAGCAGACACCACAUAUUGUUGAGAGCCUUUUCUAAUAAUGCUACCUUUAAUAUGAAAAAGGCUGUUUUGAGGUUUGACUAAUUGCCUGAUGUAAAAAGUUGCUGUCGAUUUAAAAUAGUUUCACUAAAUAUUAUAAUUUGCUCUCCACUGCAUAGUGGAUUUGAAUAUAUAUCUUAAUAUUCAUAUAUAUUUUAGUAAUUGUUAAUCUUUUCUAUCUGCUAGAUCACCUUGACUGUAUUAAGUAUCUCUAUUCCAGGAGAUUUAUAGUAACACCAGAGACAUACAUUGUGAGCCUAAGCAUAAAGGAAUCUUAAAUCAGUUUUGUAGUUCAUGAUGUUGUCCAAAACAAAUGUUAUUAACACUUCCCUAAUUAGUCCUAUUUUAACAAAUCCUCUAACUGUCCUCACCUCACCUCUAACCUGUCCUCACCUUGGAGUAAAUCCAGAACACUGCAUUUUGUUACAUGUCUGGUGACAAUGUCUUUGGUAAAUGGCAAGAUGAAGGGUUUGGAGAUUCACCCAGAAGUUGAUGAAACAAGAAAUGAAGAGAACAAGUUAGGAAGUGAAAGGCCAAUCUAGAGAACAGAAAAAAAGAGAAGAUUCAGAAAAAUUUUCAUUUACAGGAUAAAUACAUAUAUGACUGUAGAAUGUAAUUAACUUAGUAAUUAUUGCUCACUGAGUAAAAGGAGUGAGAGAUGGGAUUUGAAAGUAAAAUAAAUUAGAUCUAAAAACCAGGAGUGAAAAAGGUAGGAAAAGAGAGAGGAUAAAAGAGAGGCAAUAAAAGAAGAUAAAUUGGUCCAUUAAGAUACAUUUUAUUUGCCAGAAAGUUUAGGAAAUAAAAAAUCCAGCACUGAACUGCACAAAUUAACAUGUGGAGACACUUUGGAUACAAGGCCAUGGAGGAAAAGUUAGUAUGCAAAUGCCUUUCAGCUGCUUGGUCUAACAGUUCAGAUAAGAAAACUUUAUCUGCCCUUUUGUUUGGGAAAUUGGAUUGAGGGUUAAGCCUAGAAGUUAUUCCUUCUGAUAAGAGGUGAGGAGUGUUCAUGAGAAGUUGUAAGAAGCAAACACCACCUCCUGGAUGAUAAUUGUGUUCUAAAGCUUGGACCCAACUGCUCAAGACAAUGACUGUACUUUAAGGGUACAUAGAGUCUGACCUACUGGCAAGUCUUAGUCUGUCUAGGACACCUUCUCAAAAGGCAGCCCAGAAGUUGGGCUGUAUCCAUCAUACCACAUUUAAAGCAGCAGAACUGUUUGGUAAAAUAUAACCUUGGCUCAUUCUAAACCUUCCAAAUCAGGCUGAGAUGGCUCAGCCUAUAGAGAGAAGAGAUGCUUACAUGAUCCCUGUGUGUCCUAAAAACAGUUUUCUCUUUAGUGAACUCCGGAUAUGAUGAGAAUUAAGGUAUAAAAACACAAUUAAGUUCAAAUUUAUAAUAACAAAAUAAAAGCAUGAACAUGACCCAUGUUUUAAAUCAAGUAAUCCUCUUUCUGAAUGAAAUAACAAGCAUUAAUUCACAUGAAUUACACAUAAAUAACAAGACACAUAUAUUACCUUCUCUUUUAAUUUUGGCUUUCCUAAUUAUUAGUUUUGUGAUUUAGGUGUAUAUUUUCCCUGUCUGAACCAUCUUAACUUAAAAGUCUUGAGAACCAGGUAAUAAUCCAAAAUACAACUUUACUGACCCUUUCCUCUUUCAUUGGACUCGGGGAUAAAUACACAUGCACACACAUAUAUACAUUAAUUCAAGAGAUGCUCAUCAUUGGUGUUCCUUAUUUUCCUCCAUAUCUGGAAAGUAACCUAAAAUCAAAUAGAAUUCAUAUGCCUAAAUCAUAUUUGUAAAAGUAUGUGUUUAAAUUGUGCACUGACUAUGAUUUAACUGUGAAAUAUUCCAAGGGGGUCUAAUCUUAACAAUAUCUUGCCAAAAGGAAGUAAACUUUCAAAUUGGAUUAGUACUGGGGUGCCUGGGUGGCUCAGUAGCUUAAGCGACCAACUCUUGAUUUGGCUCAGGUCAUGAUCUCACAAUUCGUGAGUUUGAGCCCUACAUAGGCCACUGAGCUGAUGAUGUAGAGCCUGCUUGGGAUUCUCUCUCUCUCUCUCUCUCUCCCUCUCUCUCUGCCCCUACCCUGCUUGUUCUCUCUCUCUCUCUCUCUGUCUCUCUCUCUCUCACAAAAUAAGUAAAAUAAACUUAAAAAAAUUUAAAAAUUGGAUCAGUACUAUGUGAGACAGCUGCUCUCCCACCUAGUGCCUUGACCUAUCCCAAAUAUAUUGCAUUUUGAUAUGCUGAUACAUAAAUCCACAAAAAAUGCAUAAUUACAGAGAAAGAAAUCAUAUUCUUCAUACUAUUCUACAAAAAUGUUUUAUAACUAAAAAAAAUCUUAUACAUAUAGCUGAUUAUGUAUAGCACAAAUAUAUUGUUUAAAUCAAUAAAUUCCUGUAUACCUGGAACCCAGCUUGUCCGUCAUGGUCCUCUCCAUUAGGUCACACUUACAGCCCCAGCAGUAAACCAUUACCCAAAGCUUGUACUAAUCAUUCCUUUGCUUUACUUUAUGGCUUUACCACAUACAUAUGUGUUUCUAAGCAAUGCGUUAUUUUGUUUUACUUUUAUGAAAGUGGAAUCACUCUGAAUAUAGUCUUCAGAGAUUGCUUCUUUCAUUCAGCAUUUUGGAGAUGCAGCCCUAUUAAUGUAUCUAUGUAGCUGUGGUUCUUUCUUUUCACGGUUGCAGUGUUCUACUGUAUGAAUGUACCACAGUGAAUGUCCCUUUUCUCCUGCUGAGACAUUUGGAUUGCUUCCAACCAUUUUACUAUUGUAAACAAUAAAGCAAUGAACGUAUUUUUUACGAAUCUCCUGGUACACAUGUGUCUGAGUUUCUUCAGGGAUUAUAAUUUACAAGUGGGGUUUCAGGAAUUUAGCAAUUCAAAGUGCUUGUACCAAUUUAUACUCUCAUCAACAGUGUACGAAGUUUCCACUGCACCACAUCCUUUCCAACACUUUGUAUUACUGUCAAGCUUUUAAAUGUUUGCCAGUCUGGUGGGAGUAACAUAGUAUCUCAUUGUGGUUUUAAUUUGCAUUGUCCUGAUUAUGAAUCACAGCAAAUUUGUAUGUAAAAAGAAUUAAAAUUUUUCUCAGAAACAUUUGUUUUUAAUUGGGUAGCAGUGACUUGAUGUUGCAGAAUUAUGGUUAAGCCACUUUUGCUUAUAAUUAUUUAAGAGAAGGACUGUCUAUUUUGGGUUGGCUGGUCCAGGGAAAGGAAAAAGUGUUUUAUAACUUUUAAAACUGGGAAUGUAUGAAUAACAUUUUUCACCAUGAACAAGAACACAGACUGAUAAUGUGCAGAAUUAUAUCUAAAUCCCCAUUUCCUUUAUUCAAAAACCCCCAUCAAAAUAUAUAUCAAAAUCUCUUUUAAAAAUAGAGGAAGAAAAUGAGUAAUUCCAUUCAGGUGCAUGUGCACUUUUUCUUUAGUAGACUUUAUUUUUUUAAAAGCAGUUUUAGGUUCACAACAAAACUUAAUGGAAGGAACAAAGAUUACCCACACCCCCUGCCCCCACUCAUGCACACCCUCCCUAUCAACAUGCUGCACCAUAGUAUACUUGUUACAGUUGAUGAACCUACAGUCUACACUUCAUGAUCACCCCAAAUCCAUACUUUACAUUAGGGUUCACUCUUGGUGUUUAACAUUCCACGACUUUGGACAAAUGUAUAAUGACAUGUGCUGUAUGCUUUUUAUAAUAUUUUGAAUAGUUAAAAUCAUUUAUGGAGCUACAAUAUCUUGAAAGAAUUAGUGUCUCUCUCUCUACUGCGGUAAAAUUAUUUUUUACACAUAAAAACAUUAUAGAAGGCAUUGGAAUUUUUGUCUUUCACGUAAUCCUUCAUUUUGGAGAUGAUUAACCUUAUGCCCAUCAGCUGAAUUUAACCAAUAUAUUUCUCCCCUGUUCUAAUUUCCUCUUACUAAACAUACUUAGGCUUGCAUUUUUUUAGCUCAAUUGUUGUGUUUCAUCAUGACAUUAUAUAAAGAGGGUUUAUCUAUUAGCCUUAUUUGCUAUAUUUCUUUUCUGUGUUUUCAGGGUUUAGUUGAUUUUGAUUUCAUUUUCUUCCUUUUUAAAAAAAAAUUAUGUUUAUUUAUUCUCGAGAGAUAGAGGGAGAGAGACAGAGCCUGAGUGGGGGAGGGGCACAGAAAGAGGGAGACACAACAUCCGAAGCAGGCUCCAGGCUCUGAGCUGUCAGCAUGGAGCCUGACGUGGGGCUCGAACCCAUGAACCCAACUGUGAGAUUGUGACCCAAGCUGAAGUCGGACACUCAACCAACUGAGCCACUCAAGUGCCCUCUUUGUAUCUUUUCUUCUUGGAUAUUAAUUACUCUUUGGUACUACAGAUAUGGAUAUUAUUCAGAGGAAAGUGGAAGUAAGACUAUGCUGACAUUUAUUAUUAAUAAGUACAAUACAUUUACUAAUCAAAAUUACCACAUCAAUAAAUUUUCUGAUAGCCAGAAGUGACUACUGACAUAUUUGUUCUUUCACUCACCCCAAAUCACCAAAAGGUGAAAAGAUUCUUUCAUAGCAUUUUCAGCUGGAAUGAAAAAUAAAAUUUUUAGAACCAUGCAGAAAAAAAAAACAGUAGUCCUUUCUAUUUCAUGUGCUACUUUAUAGCAAGUUGGGAAAAUUCUCAAAGUAAACUUCAACUUUGAACCUUCUGAAUUCCAUAGAUAUGCCAGUAAAGCCUGAGACUGACAAGAGUUUUUAUUUUUUCCAAAACAGCUUGUAGAAAAUCCAGAUUCUAAAAAUGUGCAAUGUUUGUUGGUGUAAAAAUACACAUCUCCUUAAUCAGACCAGAUCAUGAUCCUAAUUGGAACAUAUACUACACACCUUAUAAUAAUAUAUAAUAAAUUAUUAAAAUAUGUGAAGAUGUAAACAUUUACAAAGUAAUACAAAAAUGUUUUUUGAGUCAUGAAAGAUUUGAUUACAGAGAUUGCUUUUAACAUAGCUUUCUUAGUACUUUUGACUUUUCAUGUAAAAAUCCCUAUGACUUCAUAGAAAUCCUUGGCAAAAAUUCAAAGAUUAUCAUUAGAAGUAGCAACAAAUAGGGAUGUCUGGGUGGCUCAGUUGGUUGAGCAUCUGACUCUUGAUUUCAGCUCAGGUCAUGAUCCCAGAAUCCUGCAUUGGAACCCCAUGUAGGGCUCCACGCUGAGCAUGGAGCCUGCUUGAGAUUUUCUCUCUCUCCCUUUCUCCCUUUCUCUCUCUGCCUCUCCCCGCCGCUGCCCCUCUCCCCCACUCAUGUGCUUCCUCUCUCUCUCUCUAAACUAAAAAAAAUUAAAAAAUUUUUAAAAAGUAGCAACACAUUGAUGAUCCAUAAACAUAAGUUCAGUCAAAGUCCCUCAAAUCACAAUAUGAACCAUUGGAGGUACAUAAUUUGCAAACACAAAUUUGACAUCUUUGAAGUUCUAUUAAGUCUAAAUACCAUGCAAAUGCAAAGCAGGAUAAACUCGAUUAUAGCUAUAUCUUGCCUUCAACAUUAGUUUGAGUUUGGAAAGAUGCAUGUAAACUCCAUUCAUAUACAUUCUUUGUUUAGCAGUGGAUGAAUCUUACUUGUUGGUAAUGUCCUAUGUUUAAAGAAAGUUAAAUGUUGUACUGUCAUGAUCUAGCCUCUGCCUCCCUCUUUGACAAAGUCUAUGACACUCUUUGCCCCUCAUUCAUUCCACUUCAAUCACAUGGACCUACUUUCUAUACUUUGAAACAGCUAUGUCAUUCUGUCCUCAGAACCACUCAUUGAGUCAUCCUGUCUUCUGGGAACAACCUUUCUCCUGAACAUUCCAGAGCAUCCACCUCUUCAUACUGCUACGAUCUUGAACAACAGGGGCCAUCCUCCAUGUUUGUGCCUCUUAGAAUCUCCAUUCUUAAAAAAUAAGGUGCCAGGAACAAAGUUCUUGAUUACUUCUUGGUUAACAUGGUGGCAACCUGGCAGCCUAAAUGUGCCUGAUACAUCUCCUCCCAACUUCCCAUUAAAAUUCAACAUUUGAAAUACAAGGUUUACGAUUUUAACAAAAGAACCACACUAGUAUAUAACUUUAAGUUAAAAUCUCUAAAAUCCCAUUAUUCACUAAUAAUAUUAACAAAUUCACAGGAAUGUUCUCUUGUCAUCCAGGGUUCUACGAUGACACAUCAACCACUUGUGAUGCCACCUGUCAAAUCUUUGGAUGGCCCUACCUUCAGGUAUUGCAUACACUCCAAAAGAACAUUCGGGCCCUAAUGAAAGUAACACGUUGGAUUUCCAGUGGAGUUGAGAAUAAUAUGAACAUGUUAAUAAUAGUAAGAAAUAUUUCACAGAAUGAUUCUUAAUGUCAAAUAACUUCUGAAUAAAAGAAAACUUUGAAAGGUAGUCUAACAAAAUACUGGUAAGGAUAGACUUAUGGACAUCUGUCAAACUUAUAAAGUCAUUUCCUCAGGAUCAUCAGGUAUGGAUUUAGCCCUGAAGUUCUUAUUUCCUUGACCAGAGAACUAGGGAUGUUAAAUUAAUUUGAAUGGGUCCAGCAGAUAUAGUAAUAUUAAUGAUCUGGUAGUAUUUGCCACAAACAUCACACACAAAGACACACAUACACACACACAUAAUGUCUGCAGCUAAGCUUUUAAUAUUAUAACUAUAUAUAUAUAUAUAUAUAUAUAUAUACAUGUUUCUAUAUAUACAUACAUAGAAAACAAGUUAUGUUUAACGUUAUAAAAUUAUAGAGCUAGGUUGUUCAUUUGAACUAACUUUGGCCUGUAAAGGUCGUUCUUUUGUGAUUCACAUAGUCACUGUUAGAUUCCUAGAAAUGAUUGUAAAACUUUCCUGUAAUUGGAACAUAAGAAGAUAUCAUUUAUAAAUAAGGGAACAGGAAAAUGGGGGAGUGGCGUAAGCUGUUUUAAAGAUUUAAGUUGUUCUAGAGACUAUUUUUUUGAACUCCCUGGUCAAAUAGUUUCCAUUUCAAUCCUGGGCAUUAAUUACAAGUUUCAGGGGGCAUUGGUGCUUCCAGAAAGAUUACUGGUGUAGACGGAUUUGUCUUCUUAUUUAUAUUUAGCAUUAUAGUUCCAUGUCAGAUAACAUGGAACUGUUAUUAUGCAAUUAUUAUUACACCUCACAACCCUCUUCCUGACAAAAUUAAAGUGGUUUUCCUGUCCUAACUUAUUUUUAGACUGCAAAGUAUUUAACAAUUAAUCAUGUUUCAUCCUGAUAAACUAUAAGAACAUUAAUGAAAAAGGCUUCUAAAUAAUUUUAUCUUGAAUUCAAAGCUAAGUGACAUAAUUCCUUCUUCUGAUUUUUAAAUUCCGAAGUAAUUCUGCUGGACCCAAAAAUAGACUCUCUAUAAUUAUUCUUUUUCCCACAGCAUGUCUUUGGGAACUCAUCAUUGUUGUUCUGUCCUUUUAUGUGUCAGCUUCCUCUGCACAUUACAUUUUAUAUGACUCACUGUUCCUUAAAACAAGGCUUGAAUGCUCAAAAUGCCUACUUAUAUCUGACAGCUGGAUUUUUCCCCCUGAACUUUUUUAUGUGAAGUGGAGCCAGAUCAAUUUUUAUAAGCCCCAAUUAUGAAGACAUAUAGGAAAGAGCACAAAAUGGAAGAAAAUUCACUUAACUAGGCAAAAGCUGAUCUUGACCUCUACCAUCUGUGUGUACUAGUCAUCUUCUUGUGAAAAUUAAAAGUAUUACACAAUAUUUUUCUGUCUUUCCAACUUACAAAUUUUAACAUGUAUUGGAUAGUGUGAAGGAGAUAGAUUGGAAGUGGCUUGAAAAUGAAAGGUACAAAUAUAAACUGUUUUCUGUUCAUUAGAUUGAUCUCUGACUUGCAGAGUAUUGGUAAGAUUCUUUGUGAGCAGUCAAUUGCCUCUUUUGUAGUUUUUAAAAUUUUAUUUCCAACAAGUACAGUUCAAGGUGGAUGUGUGUUUAAAUUCCUGCACGAAAGAGGCUGAAUAAUUGUCUCUGGGGAGAUUAAAAAAUAUAACAGAGAAUCAGAAUUGCGGUUUGCCAUCAUAUUAGUUUGACUCAUAUAUGACUUAAUUUUAACCUCUUGAAAGCAGCACAGAAGUGAGACUUUGAAAAUUCUUGGUCUUAGAUCAUCUACCAUGGUUGUGGGAUACGAGGCAAAAAGUCUCCUAAACUCCUACCUUCCAAAUCUGUAAAAUGAACAGGUUACACUAUAAAACUUCUCAGGUCCAUUCAGCUCUGAGAUUCUGGAACCUCUGACCCUAAUUAUUCUGAAUUAAAGAUAGGAACUGGAGAUAGAAUACUAUCUGAGGUUAUUGGUAACAAAUAAAGUGAUUUGUAAUAGCUCAUUUCUAACUUUGAAUAUUUUUGCCCUGCUUUAUUUAGAUAAUCAUUGAUUAUACUCUGAAAUAUGACAGAUGGUUAAGAGGUGGGAAAGAGAAAGAAAUAAGGAGAAUAUCUCUGGCUAGAUUGAAUUCAGGAAAUAGAAGGAUCUGUUUCCGGUUAUCAUUAAAAUUUAAUAAUCUUCCUAAAAAUUCUUUAUGCCUCCAACAUAGCAACAAUAUUAACUUUUAAAUUUCUAAUACUUUAAUAGUCCACUUUCACAUUGAAAUCUUAAUCCAACUGGCACUGAAUCUCAGAUACAAUUUUUUCCUCCAAAUUGAUGGACAGUUGUACCAACACUUUGUAUUAAAUAGUUAAUCUUUUCUAUUACUGAUUUCAAACUUUACUACAUUGUUAUAUUUACUAAAUUCUACUAAAAUUAUUUUGGAUUCAAAGGUCCACUUGUCUUGUUACUUGUUCAGUUAAACUUCAGAAUUAUUCAUUACCUUGAUUGUAUAUUCAUUACCUUGAUUUAUAGAUUAUUUGGGAAACAAUUAAACAUCUUCAUACAUUUUAGUUUUGCAUCUAUUAAAACAAACGUCUAUUUAGGGUGCCAGGGUGUCUCAGUCGGUUAAGUGUCUGACCUGCUCAGGUCGUGAUCUCACAGUCCGUGAGUUGGAGUCUGGCAUCGGGCUCUGUGCUGACAGCUCAGAGCCUGGAGCCUGCUUCAGAUUCUGUGUCUCCCUCUCUCUCUGCCCCUCCCCCUCUUGCACUCUCUCUCUCAAAAAUAAAUAAAUAAACAAUAAAAAAAUUGAAAAAAUUAUAAUAAACAUUUUAAAAAAUUAAGAAAAUCUUAUUUUUCAGCAAAUAGUUCAGAGAAUCAGUAGUGAGUCAGUUUGAUUAGAACAGUAGGAAGUAAAUUAAGGUAAAUCUGAAACUCAACGUUUGUAAACUGUAUUAAAAUACUCCAGAAAAAUUAUAUCUUCAGUCUUUAGAACUAUGCUCAAUAGAUCAACUCCAUCCAUGACUGUCUUACCAUCCUUUGUAAGUUUUAUUGCACAGUAUCCUGUUGCUCAGAACCAAAUAUAGAUAAACCAAAUAUAGAUAAUUUUUCUAAGAGAUAUGAUUAAGGAUCUAUUAUAAAAAUAGGUAUUAAGACAUACAAAAUAUAUUUUUAAAUGUAAUUUUUUAAAGAAUCAAAAGAUGUAAUUUCUAAUAGACAGUAUGUUCCCCAAAAUACCUGUUCUCAUCUUGCUAUGUAAUUACGGAGCCAUGUUUCCAAGAAAAAUGAUUCAAAUAAAAAUUACGAAUUCAACAAAAUGAAUUAAAUUUUUUAAUUUUUUUUUAAUUUUUUUUCAAUGUUUAUUUAUUUUGGGACAGAGAGAGACAGAGCACGAACGGGGGAGGGGCAGAGAGAGAGGGAGACACAGAAUCGGAAACAGGCUCCAGGCUCCGAGCCAUCAGCCCAGAGCCUGACGCGGGGCUCGAACUCACGGACCGCGAGAUCGUGACCUGGCUGAAGUCGGACGCUUAACCGACUGCGCCACCCAGGCGCCGCCCCAAUUUUUUUUUUUUUUUUUUUUUUGAGAGACAUAGACAGAGUGUGUGUGGGGGAGGGAGAGAGAGAGAGAGGAAGACACAGAAUCUGAAAAAGGCUCCAGGCUCUGAGCUGUCAGCAGAGUCCAAGUUGGGGCAUGAACCCAUGAACUGUGAGAUCGUGACCUGAGCCGUAGUCAGACACUUAAUGACUGAGCCGCUCAGGUGCCCCUCAACAAAAUGAAUUCAGCCCAGCUGAUGAGGAACCUUUGCUAUAUAUAUACUUGUCAUUUAUGUUAUCACAUGCAAAAUUGAGAAUGAAUCUAACACCCAUCUCAAAAUUCAGUGUUCUUAUGGAUCAAGUGCCUUGGUGUCCUUUAUGAAUAUGCUUUUCUGAAAACUCCUUGAUAAUUCACUUUUAACCAGACUGUCUUUUAGUGCCUAAAGUUGUUCUAUUUUGUAUUGGUCCCUGAAAUAGCCCUUUGAUCUCCAUAAAAAAUUGUGUUCAUAUAAAUUGCUUUAGAACAUAGUAAACUUCACUGCAGAUUUUCAUAAUGAAAAAUUCUAUUUUGUAUUGGUCCCUGAAAUAGCCCUUUGAUCUCCAUAAAAAAUUGUGUUCAUAUAAAUUGCUUUAGAACAUAGUAAACUUCACUGCAGAUUUUCAUAAUGAAAAAUUCAGGAGAGGUUGCUAUGCUAGCAAUGAAAACUUCAAAUAACUUCAAAUCAAAUGGUAGACAUCACCAUUUUUAAAAUGUCACUUGUCCUCUCAAUAUCAUAUCUACUUCCUGCCUCUCUCCAUCUUUUUGGAUCCACUCUGCCUUUAUUCCUUCUGUUCAUCACUCGUUUGCCUGAUUCCUUUCCAGGAGGUACAAUACUACAUUUUCUUUUUUUUUAUUUUUUUUUAAUGUUUAUUUAUUUUUGAGAGAGAUAGAGACAGAACACGGGUGCGGGAGGGGUACAGAGAGAGGGAGACACAGAAUCCGAAGCAGGCUCCAGGCUCUGAGCUGUCAGCACACAGCCCGAUGCGGGGCUUGAACUCAUGAGCUGUGAAAUCAUGACCUGACCCGAAGUCAGACGCUCAACCAACUGAGCCACCCAGGCACCCCAUCAACACUACAUUUUCUAAUCCUGAUUGGUGAAAAGGAGAUUUCUUCUUAUUUGAGCACCUGCUAACAUUCAUAGCCAUGUGCCUGCUCUACUCCAACUGUUAUUUUUACUAUUAUUUAUUUAUUAAGAUUUUAUUUAUUUUUUAAAGAAUCUCUACACCCAUUAUGGGGCUCAAACUCACAACCCUGAGAUUAAGAGUUGCAUGCUCCACUGACUGAGACAGCCAGGCACUGCAGUGUCAUUUUUUUUUUUUAUUUUUUUUUUCAACGUUUAUUUAUUUUUGGGACAGAGAGAGACAGAGCAUGAACGGGGGAGGGGCAGAGAGAGAGGGAGACACAGAAUCGGAAACAGGCUCCAGGCUCUGAGCCAUCAGCCCAGAGCCCGACGCGGGGCUCGAACUCACAGACUGCGAGAUCGUGACCUGGCUGAAGUCGGACGCUUAACCGACUGCGCCACCCAGGCGCCCCCGCAGUGUCAUUUUUAAUGUAUUUUAUAUAUUAAAAAAAAACAACAACACAGUUAUUUUCCUAAGAGGAUUUCUGAUGACAGUGCUAGAAUAAUCAUUAUUUAAUAUGUUAUGAUAAUUUUCAUACUUACUAAUAUUUAAUUUAAUAGAUAAAAAAUAAGUUGUUGAAAUGUAUAGGAAUCAUUCUAUAUGCAGUAUAAAUACUAUAAAUUUUAAAAAAUUCAUUUCCUUAUCAUUUGUUCCUUUUCACGUUUGCUUUACAUUAAAUUACAGUUUAAGUCUUAAUCAUUUUUCUUUUUUUUUUAAUUUUUUUUUAACGUUUAUUUAUUUUUGAGACACAGAGAGAGACAGAGCAUGAACGGGGGAGGGGCAGAGAGAGAGGGAGACACAGAAUCAGAAGCAGGCUCCAGGCUCUGAGCCAUCAGCCCAGAGCCCAACGCGGGGCUCGAACUCACAGACCGCGAGAUCGUGACCUGAGCCGAAGUCGGACGCUUAACCGACUGGGCCACCCAGGUGCCCCGAGUCUUAAUCAUUUUUCUGACCACAGUACCCAGCAUAAUGGUUCUCAAACACAAUAUAGUUUUAUUUAUGGUAGAAUUGCAUUUCAUCAUUUAAUAUGUCUUACAUAUUAGACAUAUUACUUUAGACUAGUGAUCUACAAACUGGGGUAUGGAUACCCCUAAGGGGUAGGCAGAAAUAGCUUGUUUUACAGAAAUCAAUUCUAGAUCUUUAACCUUCAUUUGAACCCCAUCCUAACUCUUGUCAUUACAAAAUUCCGAACGUCCAAGCUUUAGGCCAGUUCUUCAUUUUUACCUCUCCUUUCUUAUAGUCUUACUUCUUUACACACACAUGCAUUCUUUCACCUGUCUGAGUCUUACUACAAAGCAUUUCUGCAAAGUGUAACAAUCCCACAAAUGAGGAUAGGCACAAUGCAGACAUUGGUUUUGCCAAGCCUCCUUCAAAAUGAACUCCCCCCUCUCUUCAUCUCGUUAAUUGAUGUAUUUAUAAUAAAGUUUUACUUUUUUUGUUUAAAAAUCAUGUAUCAAAAUUUAUAAUACAUUUACUAUGAUUUGAUCUAGAGUAUCAACUCUAGAGCCAAACUACCUGGUUCAAAUCCUGAGUCAACCACUUUUUAAUCACUUGGUAAAAUUAAUAAACCUACUUGUACCUCAGUUUCCUCACAGGUAAACCUAAGAAAAACAUAGUACCUACUAUACAUGUUUUUAAUAAUGUGAUCAUAAAGUCUGAAAACCUAAAUAUUACUUUUUUAACUAUUAUAAUAUAAAUGAGAAAAUAAUUUAUUAUGUAUAAUUUAUGUAUCCAGACUUAGUGGUUUCUCUGUAUAUAAAUUUAUAGAUACAAGUAGAGAUAGAGGUAUUUAGUACUUGGAAUUUAGUAAACCUUUAAAAAGUGUUAGUUACUAUAAUAUCUACAUCGUCAUUAUUUCUAAAAAAAAAAUUGUAAUGGUAAUGCAAUCAAGUAGGAUUUUUAAAAACAUUCAUUGACAGUCAUUUGGACAGGAAUUUUAGUUUUUAUUUUAGAGAGAAAGAGUGUGGAGGUGGGGGAGAGGGGCAGAGGGAGAGGGAGAGAGAAUCUUAAGCAGCUGUCCCCACCCAAUGUAGGGCUUGAUCUCAUGACCCUGGGAUCAGAACUUGAGCCAAAAUCAAGUCAGUUGUUCAACACACUGAGACACCCAGGUGCCCCAGGAAAUUUCACCAAGGUAUAUAUUUUGUUGCAAAGAAGAUUUUGAGCAGGGAAGACUUUGUUGAAAAUGUUCCUAUGAAAAGAUUAGGAGAGGUUUGCAUAGUAGCCAUGCAAACACGUCAAAGGAAAAGGAAAAACACCAUGGUUCUAAAAAUGUCACCUGCUCACUCAAUGAUCAGUUUUCUCUCUCUUUCUGGCUUAAUUACAACAAGAUUAACUGAAUCUGGGAUAAUGUGACUAGAUACUAUAGAUCACACAGAAAUGAGCUGUUGGUGCUGCUAGUAAGCAAAUAAAUAUAAGGCUCUGUAAGCAAUGCAUUGAAACAUACCAAAAAGGUUUCUCUUUUGUUGUUAAGGACAAUAAAUUAUAAGGAGGUUAAGAAAGUUCCUUUACAACUGGGGCUUAUAAUUCUCUGUGUAAUAAUUUAUAUUUGCAAUUUAUGAUCAUUAACAAAUAGCUUACUUUUAUUAUUUUUGAUAAUGAUACAUUUGCAAAAACAUAAGAGGGUGCCAUUAGAUGCAGGAAAACUCCAUAAUCUUUUACCAAGAUGCAUUGACUCAGCAAUCAGUUGAACAGAGAGUCCUAUAUUGAAGGAAUUUUUAUGAUAUUCGAAUCUUGUUCAGUGGGAUAGUCCCAUACUUAUGAUUAAGAAUCAGGCCCUUCAGGCCAAAUCGCAACCAGAGUCCAUCAGACUUCAGAUGAAUUCUAAUAGUGGAUGGGGUGUGGAUUUCCCCUAUGUAGGAAAACCCCAUGUUAAAAAAAAGAAAGCAUCUCCCUACCCUGCCAACCAAAAACCUUGUUUGUUUCACUAAGCUAUUUUAUUAUUGUUUCAUUUGUCUUCCAUCCUAUCUCCCAGGCCUUUCUUAAACUUCCUUUCAAAGCAAAUUAGUUAUCUUUUUAUGGAAUAUAUCAAUUUUGACAAAAUCUUUUCCUCUUCCUGAAAUGUGCAAACCCUAGCUUGAAUGUGACAAAGUAAAAUUAUUAAUCAGAUUAGGCCACUUCAUUUAUACCUAUCAAGGUUAUAAAUGAGCUAGCUCUUAGCCAGUGCUUCCUAAACUGUCCAUAUUUAUAUAUUUCUGAGGUUAUCUCAUUUUCUGUUUAUGUUACUCCAUCAGUCACAGUAUACUUAUAAAUGCCAGAUGGGCAAGUCCUCCACAUUUUGUGGCUUGUUCCAUUAAUGUAUAAGUCCUGCUAAUGUUAUAUUUAAUGAUACAUCUUUAUAUGUUUGCUAACUAUUUAAAAAAUGAAAAACAUUUACAUGUAUCGCUUCCUGUAAAUUUCUACCUAAAGUAGUGGGAAAAUGCCUAGGACCUAGGAAUUAAAAAAGGAUGUGGCAUAUGAGGAAAGUACAGUUAUUUAUUGUAUUUUACAGGAAAUUCCUGCUGUGGCUAAAAGUUCUUUGCUCUCUCAAACUGCUGUAGAUAUAAGACAAAGGGAAACCAACACAAAUCAUUGUACCUUUUAAUAUGCUGAAUCUAAAGUUUGCCUGCCAUGAGAAACAGACUGUUAGAAACAGGCUCUGGAUUUAAAGGAAACUAAAGCUGUGAUUCAUAAGCCUGGCAAAUAGACCUGGCGACAAUUAGUUAACUCCAACCAGCCUUUAGACCCAUUUUUAUUGUUUUAAACUGUUUUACAUGACACCAAAACCUCCAGAAGAAAAUUCAACAUUUCUGUCAAAUGUUUUGUCUACAUGACCUGAAAGAGUAACAGAAAUUUAAGUAACCAAUAACUAUCAAUUCCAAUUAUAAAAAAUUACCUCAUUGGUCAGCUCCACAUUUUAAAAACCAAUUUGGCUAUUGCUAAAUGAGGCUUUCAGCAGGAGAGUCCCUCCUGAUAAGAAAAAAAAAAUGCUGUGCUGAAUUUAUUAUUUUUUUAUUAUCACACAAAUAGAGUAAAGUUGUUUUUCACAUUCACUAUAUAAUUGGUAACAAAUUCCAACUUCAAAUCAUUUGGGGAUUCCACUUUAUAGAGUGUGCUAAUCUUAGUUACUUAUUUCCAGGAGAAGUUUAUUAGUCCUUAUUUACUCUCCAUUUUUCCCAACCUCUUUGGCCAUGCAAUAAAUGAUCCAGAAAACAGUGCCCUGACACAGGCUGCCACACCACUGGGAGCACUAAUACACAUAUACACAUAAAAUCACAAUAUACUUUAGAAUUAAUUUUCCCAUCAUAAGCAUCAAUUUUCUGAAUCAUAGCAGACUUUAUAAUUUAUGAUUAUUGCCAGGUCAUAAAAAUAGUCCUCAACAUGAAGCACCUGGGUGGCUCAGUCAGUUAAACAUCCAACUCUUGAUUUCGGCUCAGGUCGUGAGAUCCAGCCCUAACAGGCUCCGCGCUAACAGGGGACACUCUUUCUCUUUCUUUCUCUCAAAAUAAAUAAAUAAACACUUAAAAAAUAUUUCUCAACAUUAUCCUAUUAAGUCUUGUGUUUUCUUUGCAAAGGAGAAAUAAUAUUGAAUUCUUCUAUGACAUCUCAGAUGCUACAUGACAUUUGAUAGAAUAUCUGGUGGAAAAUUAUAUACAAAUAACCAACUGAGCCACCCAGGAACCCCUCACAAGAUAUAUUAAAUUAAAAUCAUAGACUAUCUUUUGGGUUUACAUUUUGUAAUGCCUGGUUUGGAAAGGUCUAUAUAUCUGUAGCCAGAGAAAAUUCUUCUAUUACAUUUUUUUAUUAUUGUCUAUUCCUGUCUUUGAAGAUCAAAUUUAUCUUUGCAAAAUUUUAUUAGUGAAUCAAGGAAUAUCCACGUUUUCUCUGAUAAGUCCUAUCUAUCAUAAUGUGAAUUGUAAUUUCUAUUCUUUCUAUAACUUGGAAGUCUUUGGUGCCAUUUCUGGCCAUAGAGCUUUAAAAUGCCCUAUUUUCACUACUCUAAUAUAUUAGCUUUAUUGUUCUAUAGGACCAGAAGUAUCCUUACAAUUUUUUGAUACAACCCCUACAUUUUUUAAAUGAAAAACAGAGAAGCAGGCAAAUAAAAAGAUUGGUUAAAAGAAAGAAAAUAGUAAUCUGGUGUCACAACCAAAAUAAGGACCUAUUUCUCUUCAAUAUACUUAUAUUGACUAUUCUAUACGAUGACUACAAACCACCUAAUCAUGCCGUUUAGAAGUUAUCUAUAAGCAACACUCCAUUUUUCACAAAACUUAAUUUUUCUCCAUCUUCUUCUGGAUGGUCUCUAUAUUGUCAACAUGACACUAAGCAUUCUCUGAUAUUUAUUCUAGGAUAUUGUUAUAUUUGAUAAAUCCAUUUCACGAUGCCCCCAUUCACAUUCUGUUAAAUCUGAACUUUGGGGUUCAUAACCACUCUAGUGUCCAUUGAAUUUGUCAAGUUAUUUUCUAACUGGGGUCACAUAAUGUGCUGAUGUACUGUAAACUUGAGGAUAGUUGUUGCCUCAAGAUCUCUCAUGCAAUUUUAAUGCAAACUCUGUUCAAAUAAGUAGCGCGAUUGAUAUCUCUGUUGAAAAAAAUUUGACCUGUCAAGUUUCUGAAACUGCUCUCCAUAUCCUGACAUGAUGAAAAUGCUACUCAAUUAACACACACAUGUGCGUAGAGACUUUGUGGCCACUGUGUCUUUUCCAGGUUUCUCAAUGGCCAUUUUAUUGUAUUUUUCUCUCUUUAUGUGGCAACAUAUUUAGCACCAGGGCCUUAAGAAACUCAUUAGGCAGUGAGUUUUUAUAUUGAAAAGGGAUUGUGAUAAAAUAUAUUCUUCACAGAAGGUAAAACCAGACUCUUACCAGGGCCAUCAAGCUGACUUCAAACAUCGGUGGAAUGGACGAAAGACUAAGCAGAGAUUCUGUUCAUUAAAUGUAACUCGUUUAAGUCAUUUGGUUUUUAAAUCUGCCUAAACCCAUAAGGAAAUGUAUAUUUUCUAAAAAUGCUAAUUUUUAACUGAAAUCUCAGUAAUAAAGAACACAUGACCAUUUGUGUAUAUAAUUAGUUGCUCACAUUUCAUCUUGAAAAUGCUGUUAGCUCAGUUCCCAGGGUUUUGCAUAUCCAGGAUGAUUUUCCUGAGACAGCAUAGGGUAACAAAUAGGAAUUUGGGUUAGGGGACAUGUUUCUAGUCUGUUCUUUGCCUCUGAGCAGCUGUGCUAAUGUGGUCAAGACAUUUCACUUCCCUGGUCCUGAGUGUCCUCAUCUAUAAAUUAAAGGUUUUUGGACCUAACUGAUCUUGUUUAUAUUGUGAAAUGAUGAUAUUUAAACAAAAACUGCAUAUAAUUGGUUUUCAUCAAAUAACAGCUUUUGUUACUAUUAUGGCUAUUAUUAUUAAUGAAACCAUUAGGUCCUUCUAACUUUAAUUGCUGUGAAUGGCAUUGAGUUAAGUGUUUUGGCUGACAGUGUUCUGUUCUGAAUUGUUUCAACAGUCUGUGUUUCACUAGAAUUGUGUGCAAAAACAUGGGUACUUACUGGGUGUAUAAUUAACGUCAAGAUAAAAUACUGAGCUAAAAGUAUCUUCUAUGAUUAAUUCUCCUAAACUGUCAACUGGUCACACAUGUAUGGCUUAUCCAAAAGAUACUUACUACAUCAUCUUCCAACUCAUGUUACAUACUUUAUUGCUAAUUCUGAAAAAAAAAGGCACUUCCUGGUAUCAGAAAGAUCUCAAAUUGUAUGUGAUUGCUCAUAAAAUUAAUAAUUUCAAGGCAGAAGUUGCACAGUAUUAUUUAAUAUGGUCCAUUUUUUUUCUUGAAGAAUACUCUAAAGCUCUUAAUACAAGCAAAGAAACCAAGUUAAAUGUAAAAGAAUAUUAAGGAUUGUUUAUUUUACUAUCCUAGUAAGAAAAUGCUCCACAAACAUGAUCUUUUAGUGAUGGUUUUGUUGGGUGGGAGGGGCAGAAGUGCUUCAUAUAAGCUUUAAAAUAGUACUAAUAAAUGUCAAUAUAGCCAGUGACUAUUAGGGGGAGUGAAAUAUAUCAGGUUCCAGAGGUAGUUCUGGUUAACAGUGUAUGUUUAAGAGUAAGAGUCUCAGGUUAGAAUCCUUGCUCACUUCAUUAGUGAGAUUACUUUGAGCUUUAAUUUCCUUAUCUGGAAAAAAUAAGACAGAGAAUAUCAUAAUUUGUUACCUUCAGAAUUGAAUAUGAUAGUAUGCUUAUAAUACCUAAGACAGUGUUUAGCAUGCAGUGAACAAUAAAUGGUAGCUAUUACUAUGUAAAUUAUUUUAUAAUCCUGAUUUCAAUAAUUAUAAAUAACAUCAGAUUAAACCUUGGUUUAUAGUAAUUUAUUUCCUACUAUUUAGUUUUGAUAUUUUGGUAAUAGAUUAUUAAAUGCUACCUCAUUGAAUUCUUGACAAUUUCUGCUUUCCUUUUAUUAAUUAGAGGAACCAGGAUGAGAUGCCUGGUCCAAACACCCUUCUUUCACCCACUUCCUACUACCCUCCACUGUUAUCCCUAUGCUUGAAAAUAUACUGAGGAAUGUUGAAUGUUGCUAAAGAAAGAAACAGGAGGUUGUUUUGUUUUGUUUUCUGAGACAUAAUCUAUGAUGAGGAAGACAUAAAGACUCAGAGUAUCACAUGGCACCUAUACUUUAUUGGACAUUUGAAUUGGUUUGGAGAUUCUAAGGACCUGAAGAUGCAGACAACAUUUUCAUGAGAAAAUUAGUAAAACUCUGGAAAGGACUUGUGCUGUCUUAGGGCCCAAGUGGCAAUGGCAGCAGAGGAUAAAGUUAGAGGUCAUUUUCUACCAUUUCUAUAUAGAACACAGAAGGACUAUGGCACCUUGAGAAGUGAAGACUUUGUGAGGAUUAGGUUAUAGUCUUUGUGACAUUAUUGUCAAAUUGAAGUAGUAAGACAUGGCAAGAUGAAGGUCACUGAAAGUGAUUCUAAGGGCAGAGAGAAUAGACAAAGAAAGUCAGAGUGCUAGGGAAAGAAUGGUGUGGGUUGGUCCUAUGAAAGAGACUGGCUUGCAAAGCAUCCCCUUAGGGAUUUCAAGAGACACUUGAGACUUUGCAGGAUGCUGGAGGUCCAGUGUUCUAAGGUGCAGACAAAAUCAGAAAUUUGUGAGUUAUUGAUAACAUGACUUGAUAUCCAGAGGCUUUUGGGGUCCAACAAGUUUUCAGUCACAAGAAUAAGAGUUUAUGUAGUCUUAGUCUCUAUUUAGUCUUAUUUGUAACUAAGAUAUUUCAAUAGUAUGGAACCAAGAGUAGGUUUCAAAGUGUUUGGAUUUAUGGAAAUAAUAAGUGAACUAUGGGAUUAGCUACUUGACUUUAAGUAUCUUGUGGUUUCAUGUGAAUCAUCUGGCAAUAAAUCAAGUGUGUGAUAUUUCCUAAUAAAGUUAUUUUCAGAAAGGAAAAAAUGAGCAUAGCUUCUUCCACAUGGGAGGUCUUGCUACUGCUCUAUAUAACCCUAAGGAUUAAUCUGUUCAUGGCUUAGAUAUUUCUACCUAAGAACACAACAUGUAAAUUCUUGUAAGUCCACAGUCACAAGUCAGCAUUUAGUGGUUCAAGGGAAACUCAAAUGGCUUUGAGACCCUUAACUCAAUUGUUUCUUAAAACCCAUGCAAAGCAUUCAGUAUUUGGUAUAAGUGUACUUAUACUCCUAAACACAUAUUAUUGAUAUACUUAUGUGUAAAUAAUCUAAGAUUACAUAUUAUAAAUGUUACUUCAUUUCUUAUCUGAACACUAGCCUUCCCCCAUACCUCUACUUACUUAUAGCCCUCUCCUGUACAUUUCAAAAUUCUUUUUUCUUUUCCUCAAGAUACCACUCAAAUAUAUACACUCUUGAAAAGUAAAUUCAUAUUGUUCAUUAUUUUCCUGCUGGAAGUACUUGACAAGAAUUCAUAGUUAGUUUCAACGUAUUCUUUGAAUAGAUUUAUUUAUUUAUUUUUUAUUUUUUGCCCUGCCGAGCUCUUUGUAGUCUUUGUAGGCAAACACAUGAAACUUGGCAAAGGCAUCAUGCUCUUUACCACAGGGACAGCUGCUUCUCCAGUACUAGUCCACUUCUUUUCUUUUAAAAGUUUUUGAAAAGAAGAAGCACUAUAAUUAUGAUCAUUAGCCUAUUUGAGCUCUACUUUCAACCAAUUUCAUUAUAAUGUUAUCAUUACAUUUUGAGAAAAUAGUUGUUCAAUAAAUACGACAUUUUUCCAAGAUAUGCAUUAUGAACAUUAAGUCAUAAUCUCAUGAAAAAACUUUGAUAUCUUCUGUAACUAGUUCAUUAGAUGAUUAUUUUAAUCGAACUGAUUCUUGAUACAAAAGACAAACUUCUGUCUUAUACUCACUACCCUAGAAAGAUAUGAUCUUUUAAAAACAUGAAAUAACAGAUUUGAUUAACCUCAACCACUCCAUGAAAAUGAUUUUUAAUGUUCUUAUUUUGAAAGCUGUCUCAGAAAUGUUAGCAUCUAUUUCAUUUUAUAGAUUUUGGAAUCACAACUGAAGAUUCAAUGAUCAGUAGAGGAAACAGAAGGUGAGUUGGCAUAUGAGCCUAUCUCUGCUUCCAAAAAGAUGAGCAUGUGACUCUAGAACUAAGAGUUAUUAAUCACAGCAUUUUCCAAACUACUAUAUUUUUUAUUUUUUGUAAUUUUUUAAGUUUAUUUUAUUUAUUUUGAAACAGAGAGAGAGGGAGACAGAGAGAGAGAGAGAGAGAGCAUGGGAGGGGCAGAGAGAGAGAGAGAGGGAGACAGAGAGAAUCCCAAGCAGGCUCUGCAUUGUCAGCAUGGAGCCUGAUGCAGGGCUAGAACUCAUAAACCAUGAGAUCAUGACCUGAGCCAAGAUCAAGAGUCAGACACUUAACUCACUAAGCAACCCAGGUGCCCCUAAACUGCUAUAUUUAAUGCUUAAUAUUAUGAUAUUCAUCUUUAUAAUGCCUUCAGGCAGAUGUCACAGAUCCUUUUGAGAUAAAUUUAUGCCUCUAGUUAAAACAUUCUAAGGAAGGCCUUUUUAAUGCAUUUUAAUUUAACCUCACAUAUAGUAUUUUCUUAACACAAAUUGUUCUUUUGCAAAUUAAAAUAUAUUUCUUUGUUCUAAAUUUUGAAUAAAUGAAAUGGCCUAUUCAUCAAUCAGAAAGUGUUUAAAAUGAGAUAAUUUUUAUAAUACCAUUUAUAAGGCUCUUAGAAAUUUUUCUCUAGGUUUCACUUUAGAUUCAAGCUCUGAGAACCAACUGAAACCUAACUGUAUUAGUCUUCUAGGGCUGCCAUAAAAAAAUAACAGACUGGGAGGCUUCACAAAUUAAUUUUCUCACAGUUCUGGAUGCUGGAAGUUCAAGAUUAAGGUGUUGGCUGGUUUGGUUUCUCUUUAGGCCUCCCUUUUGGGCUUGUAGAUGUCCACCUUCUCACCAUGUCCUCACAUGGCCUUUUCUCUGUGUGUACGCAUCCCUGGUGUCUCUUCCAGUUCCCCACUUAUGACCUCAUUUAACCUUAAUUACCCCUUAAUUGAGGGUCGUAUUUCCAAAUAUAGUCACCAUUUGGAUUAGGGCUUCAACAUAUAAAUUUUUGGAAAAAAACAAUUUAGUCCAUAAUACCAACAAUUUCUAAGAAAUUAUUUCAAAGAAGGUGGAAGAGAUAAGAAUUAUUUUAAAAAUUUAGAAUCUCUAAGUAAAAAGUAAUCAUCCAUGUCUUCUAUACGCCAAUGACUCCCAAAUUUAAAUUGUUAUGUAUGAACUUCUUACACAUCAGCCCUUCAAAACGAAUUCUUCAGCCAAAUAUUUCAUUAACUAUUUAUAAUUGGAAACCCUUUUAUGACUCAAUGUCAAAUUGAUGCCAGAGACACUAUUAGUUUCCUACCAGAGAUACUAUUAAAUGCCACAGCAGUUUAUGAAAAUUUUUCUAUAUAUUAGUAUGCAUACUUUUUGGAUUUAUACUCUUCCUCAGAUUCUUCAAAAAGAUUUCUCUUUCCUUGGUUCUUCAAUGUUUUUCAAUUAUGCCCCUUUUUAAAUUUUUGUUUGUUUGUUUGCUGAUCAUUACAUGAAAAUAGAUCUGCUUGUGGACAUAAGCAUUUUAAGAGGUGACCUUAGCUUGUUCUUUAUUCUCUAGGGUUUCACCAAAAUCCCUUUCCUCUUUUUAGGUCAGGAAUUUAAAGCCAAGCCUGUAGGCACUGAUUUUAGCCAAAUUCCCAACAUUCAGGGAGCAUUUAUGUAAGCAUUUAUCUAGAUUUUUCUAAUGUGCAAUUGUCUCAUAUCCUAUAUCACAUGUCUUGUUAUCUGGAGCUCUUACACUUUGACAAGUAGAAUUCAUAAAAACCUCUUCUCCAGGAAGAAACAAAUAUGUUGUCUCUAUAGUGGCUCUUUGUUACUUCAUUCCUUCCCUAUAGGACUUGAUUUGUUAGAUUCACUCUUAACCAAAGAAUUUAUUGAGACAGCACCAAUAUCUAUACCUAACCAAAUCAAUCCAUCAACAAACAGAUAUAUUUCAUCUUCUGAGAAGUGGGAUUCCUGAAUGAAUGGCAGGCAGUGGGAGGGGUGGAGGAUGGGGGAGAGGGGAGAUGUGUGUGGGGUGUACAAAAAGAAUAGACUCAUUUCUCUGGUUCCCUUAAAAAAAACACCCACACUUACUAAUUUCCUGAUGAGUACAACUCUCAGUUCUAUGAGCUUCAGAAUUUGGUGCUGAUGUGUGUGUUAACUUCUUGUCUUUUGGGUAGGCGCUGGUUGUUUCUGAAUCCAGUUCUAUGUUAACUAGAAUGCCUCAACUUUCCCAAACUCACACUCUAAUAACACAGGAUAGAAAACAGACUGUUACUCUCCAAAAUGAAAUUUUUGCAUAAGUAAAGAUUUACUAUGCUGAUGUCCCAAUUUAGCUUUCCAUUCCUCCUACUGGGUGACAAUUAUUGAUAUCCAAUAUUAAAUUUGCCUUAUAAUAAUACAUAAUAAGAACUUUUAUUAAGUGCUUACUAAUAUGCCAGAAAGUGUUCUUAGCUUACUACAUACUAAUUUUUCAUGUAAUAUAUCAACCCCAAAUUGGAUGUAUUAUCAUUAUCUCCAUUGUAUGCAGAUAUUGAGGUUAUAGGGAUCAAAGAAUUUGCCUGUCACAUAAAUAAAUAGUAUAAAUUUAUAUCAGAGCUCAACAAAAUACAGACUUAAUCAAUGACUAACUCUGAAAAAUAAUCUUUCUCACUUCUCCCAAGAUGUAAAUGGAACAAAGCAAACUGUGGGUUGCCUUCUGUAGUACUUUAUAUCUAUUGAAACAUAAUCAAAAUUAUUUUGUGUGUGUCAGUACACAAGUUAUAGCUUCACUGAAAGAUUAUUUCAAGAUCAGGCCAAUGACAACGACUUUGCAUAGUUGUUCUACUUCAGAAUUGUUGAAGAGAAGAGUAAUUUCCACAUUUGCUGGAAACAGUCUACCUCAAACCUACUUUUGUUCUUUUGGCAUAUGAAUGACAGUGUGUUAAAUAAUAUUAUAGUCCUAUAAAAUCCUCUAGCUUUCCUCUUACAGGAGGGGGCAGAUAGGAUUUAAUUAACUGGUAAAAAUAUAACAAUUAUAGAGUAGUGAUCAAAGAGAGCAAUUAAUUUGUAAGAUUUAAAAAAUAAGAGCUGACAAUAAUCACAAAAAAUAAUAUAUGAUGUCAAGUAAAAUGGAAUGUUUGAAUCUCUGAAAUUUGAAAUUCUGAUAUAUAAAUACUAUGCCCAUUUGAUGUUCAUCCUUUUCUCCCUAUCUUUUGUUACUUUUUGUGGCUCAUAUUUCUUCCCCCUUCUGGACUAUCUCUCAGUCUCUCUCUCUUUCUUUUUCUCCUUCCCUCUCCCUCUCUCUCACAGUUGCUUAGAUCACAAUAACAUCUUCUUUAUUGGUCCAGAGGAAAAUCCUGGCCUUCUACUAAGAUUAAAUCCUGAAUCAAAACAAUGAGUUUGAAAAGUUGAUCCAGUGGAAGAGGGGGAAAAACCUUAAUGUUUAAAACAUUUUCCCAGGGGUUCCAGGACUAUUAUCCUUCACUGUUUGGGAAACCAAGUCAGUUAAAGGCAUUCAUAUGUAAAACAUUCCUUUACAAAGAGCUCACAGUGACUGUUAAGAGUCUUGGAGAGACUUUUACAGAUUUGGAGAGACUUGGUAUAGAUUUUAUAUCUUUAACCAAGAAUAAUUAUAAACAUUUUAUAUGAUCUGAAUGAAUUUAUUUGUACACUCUUCAAAAAUGUAAUUGCUACUUAAUUUUUAGGAAAAAAAUUAGGAAACAUUAAAUUCUGUAUCUCUAUGAAAUGUUUUAGUUAUGAACUGUAUAAAGCAUGGAGAAUGAGAGAUCAGAAUAAAAAUGUUAAAGAAAACACUACAUUUUUAAUCUUAUCUUUUUUCUUGGUCUACCUAUUCUUAUUCUUUAGCUAUCACUGGAGUAUAAUCGCUUCAUCCACUGUACAGUGAUUAAAAUACUUAAUUUCUUACACUGAAGUUUUUUGGUAACUUUUCUGAGAUGAGAGAAUUUGUAGAUGAAUUGCAAUAAAAUCCAAAAGUUGUUCUGGAAAAGCACAAGAGCAAAAAUAUAAAAAUUGGAUGCAGAAGGGAGUUUUUAAAUUUUCACUUGUACAGAGCGCAGGACUCCAGUUCAAAGGUAUAUGAAUUCAUUUAUUUAUUUCUGCAGUAGGCCUUUGGGCUUCUGUAUCAUCCUGACUUUUUGAAAGGAAGAUACACCAUACAUAAUAUAAUUUUAUGAGCAUCAUAUUAUUAGACAUCUUUGGGGUAUAUUUUUAGAUUCCCUUUUUCUAAAUAAUGCCUAAGAUUGUUGACAUAACUCCUUUAUUAACUAAGGCAUUGAGAAGAAAAGAGGAAAAAAAAACUCCUUAUAGCUAUAAGCAAAAUCUCAAAAUAAGUUUUCUAAGUAUAUCAAUAAAUAUAAAAAUAGCAUUAUUUUACCAACCAUAAUAUUUUGUUGCAUGUAUACCUGAAAUAAAUCAAUGGGGAAAAGUUCCUUUUUUUUUUUUUUUUUUAGUUUGGCCUUUGAUACUUAAUGUAUUUGCAUUAACACAUAAAUAAUAAUAACAAUAUUUUCCCCUUAGAAUAAUAGAAUUAAAGAACAAAAAAGAAUUUAAGAAUCUAGUCCAAUACCCUUAUUUUACAAACAAAACAAAACUGACACCACCAAAGUUAAAUGGAUUUGGUCAAAUUAUGUAGAGCUUGUUUAGUAGCAGAAACCAAGACAACAUAUAGAGGUGAGAACAUUAGGAACUUUAAUGCACUAUACACAAGAAGCCUUAGGUCACACCUGUUUGUUGCUAGAAACAGCUCUCACUCUGUUUCCUCUGUGAUCCCCAGGUUUGGUCAAAAUUAGAACCCUGGGUUUACUCUCAUUCAACCAGAUGCUAUUUGAAUUUUUUAAAGCAACAUUUUAUUUAAAUAUAUGCUUAUUGCCAAAAAACCUUUAAUAUCAAGCAGUAUAUAUUUAUAUCUCACUCUAUCUCAGCCCUCACUUUAUACUCAAAGACCUCUCAUUCUUUUAUUUUUAAAUUUGGAUUUUUUUCUCUUAGCAUAUAAAAGUCUAUGCUAUAGCAAAAUUCCAGGGCUAAUAGGCAAAAACAUACUACUAAACUUGAAUAUACACCAUUUGAGAAUUAGAAGAGGGGCACCUGGAUGAUGGUUAAGUGUCCGACUUCUGCUCAGGCCAUGAUCUCAUGGUUUUUGGGUUCGGCCCUGCAUCGCGCCCUGUGCUGACAGCUUGGAACCUGGAGACUGCUACAGAUUCUGUGUCUCCCUCUCUGCCCUUCCAAUGCUUGCACUCUGUCUCCCUCUGUCUCUCAAAAAUAAAUAAAUGUUCAAAAAAAAUUUUUUUAAGAAUUAGAAAAAAUAGUUCGUUUGAAAAUGUUCACAACUUUUCCAUUUUGAUUGUCAUAGUAUAUUUACCUACCAAUUAAAAAACUUUUUUUUUUCAGAAGUAUGAGAGAACACUUUUUUGACUAAUUUAAUAGUGCUUUUCUUUAUUUUGCAAAUGGAUGGGACAGGGACACCUGGCUGGCUCAGUUGGGGGAGCCUGUAACUCUUGAUCUCUGGGUCAUGGGUUAGAGUUCCCUCUUGGGCAUGGAGAUUACUAAAAAAAAUAAAUAAACUAAAAACAAACAAACAAAAAACAAAAUGGCUGGAACAAACCAUCUUAACUUUUAUUCUUUCUAUGGACACAUGAAUUUUACAAUGAUCAGUUUUUGUAAAUUAUUAAAACAAUGCUAAUGAUUAUAACUAUGCACACAUAUUUGGUAAUGGAUAAUAUUUAUUUAUUCAUUAAAAAGCUUAGUGAAGUUUACGACAUUCCAGACAAUGCCCGGAGACCUAAAGAUUAGUAAGACAAUGCCCUCAAAUAGCUCUCACAUUUAGUGGGGAGAAUAAAAAAAUCAGACCUCACCAAAUCCAGUGUGAUAAUGUGCUAUUAGAGGAUGCAUAAAAAAGGAGCAUUACGCUAUCUGUGGUGUAGGCAUAACUUGGGGGGGAGACUCUGGAAGUAAGUUCAGAGUUUCUUAAGGAUGGCCCAGUUAAAGUUAAGUCCUGAAAAGACAGUAAUUAGAUCCUUCGUAAAGAAUUAUUAGUAUUGUUGUGUAAAAUAGUUUAUUUUUUCCAAAAGUCUACUCUUCUCACAUUGGACUAAAAAAUUUUCCAGUUGAUUAGUUAACAUGUGUUUUUAAGGAUGUUGAUUCCCAUCACUCCUUCCCUGAGUAGGAAAUAAAACAGGGAAAUGGGUCUUAUCUUCUAGUUUUGGCUUCCUCUUUUCCUCUCUUUCUCUUUUUCACACACCCACAACAGAAGAGGAUCAAAUCACAUUUUUUUUUAAAUACUUAUUUGGUUACUUAUUUUAAGUAUUAACCAUAGCAGGGGCACCUGGGUGGCUCAGUCAGUUGAGCAUCCAACUCAUUUAGGCUUAGUUCUUGAUCACACAGUCUGUGAGGUCGAGCCUGGAGUAGGGCUCUGCACAGACAGCUUGGAGCCUGCUUGGGAUUCUCUCUCUCUCUUUCUCUCUCUCUUUCAAAGUGGCUUUCAGAAAAUUUAAAUUACCUAUGGGUUUCACAUCAUAUUUCUUUGGAAAUCACUGUUUUAAAUAUUUUGAUUCGAUUAAAUUCUGUGUAGUACAACAAUCUAUAUGUAUUUUUUAAAGACCAUCAAGUGGAGUGCCUGGGUGACUCAGUCAGUUAAGCAUCCGACUCUUGAUUUCAGCUCAGGUCAUGAUCUUGCAGUUCGUGAGAUCAAGCCCCAUGAAGCUCUGCACUGACAGCAUGGAGUUUGCUUGGGAUUCUCUCUCUCCCCCUAUCUCUACCCCUCCCCCACUUGCACAUGUGCUCUCUCCCUUUCAAAAUAAAUAAAUAAACAUUAAAAAAAGUACUAACCACACCACUAUAAACAAUGGUCAGUUAAAACUCCAUAGAAACCAACCAACCAACCACCAUAUUAGGUUCCCCUAUACUUCCUCUUUUUUUUCCCUCCUUUUUUGUACCAACUGGUACCCCCUUUUAUGCAGGGGCAGAAUCCUCCUAAGAUUUUCUUCAUGAUGAAGAUAUGUAGCAGAAAAUUUCAGUUUCAUUAUAAAUUGAAUAUUCUGUACAUCUCCACUAAAGAAUUUAUUCCCAACUUUUAAAAUUACAUAUUUUCUUACAAGUAAUUUUCAUUAAAUAAGAAGAACUAAAUCAAAAUUAUGCAAUUCUACAGAAAAAGAAAGUAUUUUAAAAAUCAUUUUAUUGUUUUUGUUUUUUUGCUGGGGAUGGUGGUGGGUGGUCCAGAAUCAAGCUUUCCCAAUAAGAAUGAAGUGAUAAAGCUCAAAUGAAUCACAGCCCCAUAUUGGCAGUAUUUUAUAUUAAAAUAAAAGGCAACAUUAUGUUUUAAAACACAAUAGUAUAUUUUAUUUAAUAACAAAUUAUCAAUUUAAUUAUUUCAAUUAUUUUUAUUAUAUAUGUAUAUAUUUAUUAUUAAGUUUUAAUUAUUUUGGACAACAAGAUAAACUUAAUUAAGAGCUGCUGCAGACUUUUCUUUUUUUCCCCUUGAACCAUUUAUGGUUUAUAUAUGCACCAUUUUAUUUCCAACUAAUAACCUCCUGCUAUUUCUAGACAAUGCCUCUGAUACCUUCAGUUUCACUGGUUUCUUUAUCAAAGAAUUGAUGAAGCAAAUAAGGACCAAAAGUUGAUAAUGCAAAACCAAGUCUUUUUAGGGUAUGUGUUUGUGAUAAAUCAAGAAAGACUUUUACUUCUUUGAUAGUAUUGUCCUGGGGAUCUAAAGAGAAGAUGCGAGAGACUUAAUCACAGGUGUUUAUUACCAUUUUUAGAUCAAAGGCCUAAUAUAUAAAAGAAAAGGCACCUCCUAACAGAGCAAGGGUCAGCAGUGUUAUGUACAGAGCAAAGGCAGUUCUGAUAAGACAAGUGCUUUUCGAAAGGGUGCCUUUUGUCACACUCUCUUGAAUAUUGUAAUCCCAUGUGUAUGGUGACCGAUAAAGUCCUUCUGUAAAGAAAGCUGACAAUUGGCAUUGUUUGUUAAAUAUCCAUAUAUAAUUUUACUCAAAAUUAAAAAUCUUGUCACUGGGACCAAUGAAAGCAAACCAAGGCAUUCCCUUUCUGCUGCAGGGGAGAGAGAGAUGACUUCUUAAGUACUUACCACGUCCCAGAUUGUAAUAGGUGAUUAUGUGAGUUAUUACAUGUAACCCCCACAGUGUAUUUAAGAUAUGUUGUAUUAUGUCCAUCUGAAAGCUACAGAAACCCAAGUAGAGGCUGCAGUUUAGGUAUCUGCCUACAUUCUUAAUUAGUAGAUACUGCAGCUAGUAUCCAAAACCAGAGAUCCAAAAACCUGUGCUCUAUGCCCUGCACUUUGCUUUCUGUUUUCCUGUCUUUUUUUUCCCAAUACAAUUCCCCUACUGUUAUUUAAAAGAAAAAAAAAUGUUGUUAUCUGCUGCCUAAAGCAGCCUACUGCUCAGAUAGGUGUAUUGACUCUUGCCCCAGAAGGGCUCAUGUGAGUUUUCCAGCUAUAGCCUCCGUCCAGAUGUCUGUCCAGUAGACUGUUUUUAACUUUUAUUGACUUUCAUCAUCACUUUUUUUUUUUCUUUGAGAUUGCCAGGGUUAUCACUGGUCAGAAAGACUCCCGGUGGGGAAACACGCCUCACUAGAAAGACAAACACACAUAGUACUACAAUCCAAGUUGCAAUUUGAGAAAUGGGCCUCAACAAUGUAUGAGAUUCGUUUUGAAGUGACCAAGUCAGACCUCAGGAUGUUAUGAAUCUUUUCUUUUCCUCCAAAAGAAGAAGAAGGAAAAAAAAAAAGAUCAACUUAUUAGGUUCCUAGGGAACCAUUCCAUAUGAUUAACCUAUUUUCCUUUUAUUUUAACUUUUACUAAAAAACUGUUAAUUUUCCAUAGUGAUUUUUUUUUUCUCUUUAUUAGGAAAAAGUCCUACUGUAGCAGACAGAUUUUAUACUUGACUUUUUGGGAAAUCAACCCUUCUUUUGUUUCUUCAGUGUAUUUUGCAUUUACAUGAAAAUGCAUUGUCUUAAGAUGCAGGGAGAGAGGGGGCAGUCAGGUUAUGAAAAUGUUUUACUAUUGUCAUUAAGGCCUGUUACUCCAUGUCAAGCGUGACAGGGCAUUUUUUUCUUUAACACAUCCUGGUCCAGUUAAGGCUGAGAUUCAGAAAAAGUGCUUGACACAACAAUUUAGCAGGAAAGAAAGCUAUUUUAAAAGUCUUUUGGGAACAUGUUUGUGAAACAGGAAAAAACAUACCAUUGAGUUGAUAAUAGCACCCCCGUAAAGGUUAGACUCACUGAAAUGGAUUUGCCAUCUUUUUUCACAGGGAACGUGUUAUUCUUAAGCAGCAGUUCUCACUUAGGCAAAGCUUAAUUCAGCAAGGAGUUUCUUCCUGUGCAACUGCUUUUGCACUGGAAAAUCUAUUUUUAAAUUACAACCCAGACUUAGUCACACCGGUAAAUAAUUGAAAAUAAGCUUUGUUGGGUAUGUCCAAAAUGACAGCACUUUACAGAGUGCAUCACGGGACUGUGUUCCUAGCAAAUGUCCAAAUGGCGUAUCCAGAUUUCCACUCAUUAAGUCCCCAAAGAACCUCCAUUUCCUCACAGGUCUGCACCUUUACCUUCCUUCACUCAUACAACCCUUGCUUGUUCUGUACCUAUGCCCUGUUUUUCCAGUUCCUUGUCCCAAGAAACCCUAUCUCUACCCUCUAUCAACACACAUUCUUACGGUGAAUUCCUUAAACACUGAUGUUUUGAAAUGUGCUCUAAUUCAGUUCGCAUACACAUCUCUUCGAAUACACUGUCUCUUCCCUUCCUAUGGUGACAGUCCUUCUGGAUGAAAUUUCAUCGUUUACUAUUCUAUGAUAUGAUUAUGGGUGUGAACUUUCUUUCAAGGCCCUCCCUUACUCAUUUUGAGAACCAUCUCGACAAAGGCCCAGGCACUUUGUUCUUCAAAAUGUCUCAUCUGUACUCAGAUAUUUUCCCACCAACCUUUUUCCUCUGCUGUAUCCCCUAUUAUCAGUGAUUGGAACUUACUCAGAUAUUCAUGUUAGAAUUCUGAAAAUCUGUUUAGGUGUUUUACACUCCCUAAAUUCUCAUAUUCUCACAGAUUAAAUAUUCCUCUACAUCCCCAUUAUUAUUAUUCUUAAUUCUAGCCUUUAUGAUUAUUUUCUUCCCUCUUUAGAAGUCACUACAGUAUUCCAAUUUGUCUAUGUCUGCCCUUGUUGCCCUCUUUGAAUUAAUCCUCCUGCUUUCUAAAUUUUUUUUAAUGUUUAUUUAUUUUUGAGAGAGACAGAAUGUGAGGAGAGGAGGGGCAGAGAGAGAGGAAGACACAGAAUCUGAAGCAGGCUCCAGGCUCUGAGCUGUCAGCACAGAGCCCAAUCCCGGGCUUGAACCCACGAACCAGGAGAUCAUGACCUGAGCCGAAGUCGGACGCCUAACCGACUGAGCCGCCCAGGUGCUCCAUGCUUGCUAAAAUGAAAAUCUUAUCACAGUGCUCUAUUGCUUAAGACCCCUACUAUCAUUAUUUAUUUUUUGUAGUGGAGGUAGCAGAUCUUUGGAAUACAUGUUAUUCCUUCUCAGUUGGUACCCAUGGUAGACAUCGCUGAUGUAUCAGUGCCUCUCACCAGGUUUAGCCUCAGACUUAUCACUGCUUCUCAAGGUAGUCCUGCCUGCCACCGCAGCAAAUCACAGCAGGCAUCUCUAGCCUACAUUAUCAGAUAAAAACUCAAGAAAAUACCAUCUCUAAUCUGUUUCCCUGUCUCCCUGGAAAGUCUCAUCUCUUUAUGUACCACUUCCAAGCACCUGGAGCUUCAAAUUACUGAUUUUUUUAAAACUCCACUGAAGUGUCUGUCAUAUUCUCUGUGUCUCUCUCGCUUUCUCCACGUGUGUGCAUGCGUACACACACUCACACAUAAGCUACUCCCAUGUAAGAUGUGUCAUUCCAUCUGUCCAAUCAGACACUGAAAAAUAUUUAUUGAAUACCUAUAACACUUUAUUAUCCAUAUUUGUACAUGAGUUUCUUCUCUUGUAUGGUUUUAACCAUCUCUAAGAGCAAAAACUAUAACAUUUCUGGAUCCCCAGCACUUAAUAUUGCCUUUGGAAUAUACUAGGUUCUAAAUAAAUCUUUGAAUGAGUAAGUAAAUAAAUGAAUAUAUUAAAAAUUAUUAAGACGGAACUGUUUCAUGGUUGUAAGAAAUAGAGAUCCUAUAAAGGAACAGAUUUCAGUAUUAUCAACACUGUUUCUUCACAAAAAUAAUGGAUAAUGUAAUCAAUUUUAAACAAAAUGUGCAUUUACCUGAGACACAUCCAAUGAUUUUUCUCUUUCCUUCCUCUCUCUGUCUCCCUCCCCCUCCUUCCCACUUCCUUCCUUCCUCUCUUCCUUUCUUUUUUCCAUCCUUCCUAAACUUCUCUUUUACCUACUCAUAGAAGGGAAAUAGUUGAGAUAUAAGCUUUUAAACUUGGGUUAAUUUCUAAGAAUGGACUAAAGUUCAUUAAUUUUUCUUCUCUUUCUUGCUAAUAUUCCUGUUUGUUGUUUCUUUGUUAUUAUUGGUUGUAAUGACACAAUUUAAAUAUGUCACAAGUGGAAUAAAACUAUCCGCCUUUUUGUAUAUAAGCUGUCAGAUUUCCAUGCCUGUAAGAAAGUAAGACUGCAGAAAUGUAAAGAAAAGAAAUUACUGACAGGAGAAAAGAGAUAAACAAUUGUAAAUACUAUUUAAACCUAAUGUGGGGCGCCUGGGUGGCGCAGUCGGUGAAGCGUCCGACUUCAGCCAGGUCACGAUCUCGCGGUCUGUGAGUUCGAGCCCCGCGUCAGGCUCUGGGCUGAUGGCUCAGAGCCUGGAGCCUGUUUCCGAUUCUGUGUCUCCCUCUCUCUCUGCCCCUCCCCUGUUCAUGCUCUGUCUCUCUCUGUCCCAAAAAUAAAUAAACGUUGAAAAAAAAAAUUUUUUUUAAAUAAAAAAAUAAAUAAAAAAUAAACCUAAUGAAUAUUUUCUACGUUUAUCACUUAGCUUUUGCCUCAAUUAUGUAUAAUGGUUAUUUUUUAUAAACUAAAUUUUUUUUCUCAAAGGAAAUAUAUUUUUGUGUAUGAGUUGAGAAGUACUUUCUGAAAAUAAAUUUCAAGGAAAAUGUACUCUUCCUUAUAAAUCAAAACAGCUCUUAACAUAUAAAAUAGAGUUAAUGCAUGUUCUGUAAUUCAGGCAGGUUUUUUGUUCAGUGUGUUUGAUUUUACAGUGUGAACAUUAUCUCUUGACAAAGGAGUGAGAGAGAGGAAAUUAGAUGUUCUGCUCAGCACGAAUCUUCCCUUAUAUACACAUGCGUUUUGUGUUGCAUUUAAUUUUUUAAAGAACAGCUUUAUUAACAUACAAAUCACAUGGACAAAUCACAAAAAGGACUCCUGUAUUCAUUAGCAAUCAGUCCCCAUCAUCACUCUCCCUUAGCCCCAUGCAACCACUAAUCUCUGUCUCCAUAUAUUUGCCUGUGCUUCAUAUAAAUAGAAUCAUACAAUAUGUGUCUUUUGUGAUUGGCUUCUUUAACUUAGUGUAAUGUUUACAAGGUUUCUCCGUGUUAUAGCAUGUACUACUACUCCCUUCUUUUUAUUGCUAGGUAAUAUUCUAUUGCGUGGAUAUACAACAUUUUGUUUAUCCAUCAAUUGAUAGACAUUUGAGUUAUUUGUACUUUUUGACGAUCAAAAAUGAUAUUGCUAGGAACAUUCAUACACAGGUGUAUUUUGGGACAUAUGUUUUCAUUUCUGUCAGAUAUAUAUAUGAGUGGAAUUUUUGGAUAAUAUGGUAAUUCUAUGUUUAACAUUUUAGAGAACUGUUAAACUGUUUUCCAACCUGGCUGCAUCAUUUUACACUCCCAUCAGCAAAGUUACAAUUUCUCCACAUCUUUCCUUUACAUGUAAUUGUCUUUUUAUUAUAGCUAUCUUAGUGGGUAUGAAGUGGUAUCAUUGUGGUUUUGAAUUGCACUUCUGUAAAACUAAUGAUGUUGAGUAUUUUUUUUUCGUAUGUUUGUUGGUCAUUGUAUGUCUCUUUCUGUUUUUGCUUUUAAAGUUUAUUUAUUUUGAGAGAGAGAGAGAGAGAGCACAUGAAUGGGGGAAGGACAGACAGAGAGGGAGACAGAAUCAUAGCUGACUCCACACUGCCAGCACAGCACCUGAUACGGGGCUUGACCUCACAAACCGUGAGAUCAUGACCUGAGCUGAAAUUAAGAGUCAAAUGCUUAACCAACUGAGCGACCCAGGCACCGCCAUUUGUAUGUCUUAUGUAGAAAAAUAUCUGUUCAGAACCUUUGUCCAUUUUUUAGUUGGGUUAUUCAUCUUUUUAUUAUUGAAAAUAAAAGUUCUUUGUAUAUUUCAGAUACAAAUCCUUUAUCAAAUAUGUGAUUUUCAAAUAUUCCUAUUUUGUGAUUUGCUUCAUUUUCUUGAUGGUAUCAUUUGUAUCACGAAAGUUUUUAAUAUUGAUGUAGUCCCCAUCUAUUUUUUUGUUUCUUGUGCUUUUGGAAUCAUAUGUAUGGUAUCAAAUGUAAGAGUUGUAUUUACUUUUUGAGCAAGCUAUAAAUAUCUUGCCAUAAGCACACACUAGUUGUGGAUUAUCCAAGAGUAUGCACUGCUAAGUUAUUUCAGAUUUAAAAAAAAAAAAAAAACCACUUCAUGGAUAUAUUUGGGGAGAAAAGUUUCCGAAGUCCUGUUGGCUGGGCUUGGUUUAUGCUUUGGGAAUGAAUAACAAUGUCCUGUUUUGUGAAAAGGAAAAUAAUCUAUAGUUAUUUAGAUUACAGAAUGGAGAAGAGUUUUAGGUCAUCUUAUUUUACAGUCAGGAAACUGAGGCCUAGGAAGCUCAGUAACCUGGCAAUAUUCAGGCUUUGUAAGCUAGGCAAAAUGCAAAAUGGAACCUUCUUAGUAAUCUUUCCACUGCACCAGCAUUUCUCAAAAUGUUAGUUAGAAAUGUUUGGUUGCAAAUAUUUUGGAGACAAAAUUCCAGAUCAAUUCUGUUUAGUCAUAAAAUGUAACUUACCAGUUACCUUGAUGAGGAAGUCCACUAUUACAGCUGAUUUCAGAUAUGGAUAGAUUCAAAGGCUCUAAUAAUGUCAUAGGAUUCCCCACUAAUUUGUAGCUUUCAGCUGAUUGGUUCAUUUUUUUUAAAAAAAGGUUUUUUCCAUAUGGUGGGAAGAAUACAUUAGGAUAGCCUAGUAAUCAUGCCCUACUUGCUUUGCAACCUCCAAAAAGAGAAAAUCUUCCCUGAUAACAUUAAGAGAAAAGUCCCAGAGAGAAUACUGAUGAUGUAGCUUGACUACAUGUCUAUGCCUAAACACACCAAAACCAGAGGAUGAUGCUAACCUGAACAAAUUUCAGUGACUUCCUACCUCUGUGACCAGGAGGACAGACUCACUUGAACCAGAAGGAAGAGAUUCUCUACUGCAAAGAGGGGUUUAUUUUAUCAGGGGUAAAAGAGUUGUGCUGAAUCAACAGAUCAUCAGAGUUCCUAUGCUUCCCAAAUGUUGAGAUAUGCUAGUAGGUAUUGUAUAAAUUUGAUUUUUUAAGAAAAAUUGAAAGCCCCAAAUGACAAAAAUGCAACUCUGAUGAUGCGCUACUAUGUUAACUUAAAUUUCCAAGAGAUUUCCACGUUUUCUGAUUUUAUUGCCUUUGGAAGAAAACAUGUUUUCACAUAGAAUUUGACUCCUGACUUUGUGAAAGGGAAACAGGUAUAAAACUCUUAGUCUAAAGAGCUGGAAAGAUAUGUUUUGUUUUUAUACUCUUUGAGCAAGCAAUUCUUUCCAUAUUAGAUCUCCUGGAGGGAGAGUGUUCCACCAAGUACAAAGCCUUUUUUUUUUUCAGUCGCCCUCCCACCUUUUACUAAUUGGACUGAGAUUUGGCCACUUGCCUCUUUCAAAUAAAAAGAAGGUGACCAAAAUCACCGGAAAAUAGCUAAUCAUGCCCACAAUGGGAAAAUUAUUCCCAUGAGUAUGUACUUCAGAGUGUAAAAUUAAGUCCCAAAUUUAAUCACAAUUUUAUCUGUCUUUAUGGCUAUUCAACUAUUCAACCUGGAAUGUUCAUUAGAUAAGCAACUAAGCAUAAUGUUUCUCUCUCUCUCUCUCUCUCUCUCUCUCUCUCUCUAUAUAUAUAUAUAUAUAUAUAUAUGUAUAUAUGUAUAUAUAUAUAUUUUUUUUGGGGGUUCCAAUACAGUGUCAGUAGGGCUAUUACAGUCAAAUUAAACUCAAAGUUGGGAGAUUUUAUAUCUUGUUUUUAAUUGCAUUAGCAUGUUAUAUUCUAAGUUGUGACUAUUUAAUUAGAGUGUAUACAAACAAUUUGUUAAACUUUUAGUUUAUAUAAGUUCAAUAUCAGNNNNNNNNNNNNNNNNNNNNNNNNNNNNNNNNNNNNNNNNNNNNNNNNNNNNNNNNNNNNNNNNNNNNNNNNNNNNNNNNNNNNNNNNNNNNNNNNNNNNNNNNNNNNNNNNNNNNNNNNNNNNNNNNNNNNNNNNNNNNNNNNNNNNNNNNNNNNNNNNNNNNNNNNNNNNNNNNNNNNNNNNNNNNNNNNNNNNNNNNNNNNNNNNNNNNNNNNNNNNNNNNNNNNNNNNNNNNNNNNNNNNNNNNNNNNNNNNNNNNNNNNNNNNNNNNNNNNNNNNNNNNNNNNNNNNNNNNNNNNNNNNNNNNNNNNNNNNNNNNNNNNNNNNNNNNNNNNNNNNNNNNNNNNNNNNNNNNNNNNNNNNNNNNNNNNNNNNNNNNNNNNNNNNNNNNNNNNNNNNNNNNNNNNNNNNNNNNNNNNNNNNNNNNNNNNNNNNNNNNNNNNNNNNNNNNNNNNNNNNNNNNNNNNNNNNNNNNNNNNNNNNNNNNNNNNNNNNNNNNNNNNNNNNNNNNNNNNNNNNNNNNNNNNNNNNNNNNNNNNNNNNNNNNNNNNNNNNNNNNNNNNNNNNNNNNNNNNNNNNNNNNNNNNNNNNNNNNNNNNNNNNNNNNNNNNNNNNNNNNNNNNNNNNNNNNNNNNNNNNNNNNNNNNNNNNNNNNNNNNNNNNNNNNNNNNNNNNNNNNNNNNNNNNNNNNNNNNNNNNNNNNNNNNNNNNNNNNNNNNNNNNNNNNNNNNNNNNNNNNNNNNNNNNNNNNNNNNNNNNNNNNNNNNNNNNNNNNNNNNNNNNNNNNNNNNNNNNNNNNNNNNNNNNNNNNNNNNNNNNNNNNNNNNNNNNNNNNNNNNNNNNNNNNNNNNNNNNNNNNNNNNNNNNNNNNNNNNNNNNNNNNNNNNNNNNNNNNNNNNNNNNNNNNNNNNNNNNNNNNNNNNNNNNNNNNNNNNNNNNNNNNNNNNNNNNNNNNNNNNNNNNNNNNNNNNNNNNNNNNNNNNNNNNNNNNNNNNNNNNNNNNNNNNNNNNNNNNNNNNNNNNNNNNNNNNNNNNNNNNNNNNNNNNNNNNNNNNNNNNNNNNNNNNNNNNNNNNNNNNNNNNNNNNNNNNNNNNNNNNNNNNNNNNNNNNNNNNNNNNNNNNNNNNNNNNNNNNNNNNNNNNNNNNNNNNNNNNNNNNNNNNNNNNNNNNNNNNNNNNNNNNNNNNNNNNNNNNNNNNNNNNNNNNNNNNNNNNNNNNNNNNNNNNNNNNNNNNNNNNNNNNNNNNNNNNNNNNNNNNNNNNNNNNNNNNNNNNNNNNNNNNNNNNNNNNNNNNNNNNNNNNNNNNNNNNNNNNNNNNNNNNNNNNNNNNNNNNNNNNNUUUUUUUUUUUUUUUUUUGGCUUAGAUCUUUUUCCCUGAAUUCUCAUAUAACAAAAGAAAAAAAAUUAUGUAGCCACAUGGUCUACUUUCCACUGUCUCAGAUUCAAACUCAAACUCUUUUGGGCAACUUAGUAGGAGGAUACGUAGAGAAAGCCUUCUUGAGCCAGAAAAAAGGUGUUAGGAAUGACUUAGUUUCAAGGAUAUUUUGGAUUUGGGUUAGUUUGAACAAAACCAUUCCUCUAUUUUAACCAUGUUUGCCUUUUACAUAAAUUUGAAAACCUAUCCAAGGCUCAAAUUAUUUUAUCCUACUCUUUCAUUUUACAAAUGAGAUAUCUGGGAAGGUAUGUAACUUGUUCAAGCUCAUUGAAUGACAACAUAUUGACUGAGCACUUCCGACUAACUUCCUGUCUUAGAUGUUGGUGAAAUUACCCCUCUUUAGAACCUUAUGAAUGAGUCCUGUGGACUGUGUUUAAAAGUAAUGAACUAAACCACUAAAAUCAGCAUACGAUUACUAUUCUCCAACAUCAUAAAUAUUUUUAUUGAGAAAUCUUCACUUACUCCCAUCUUCCUACACAACUAGGUGAGAGUAGGUGCUCACUAAUUAGGGUAAGAUGACUAAUUGAAUGUUCACAAGUAUUUCUUAAUUUAAAAUUACCUUACCAAAAUGGCAAGUCUGAGUUGUAAAGCUAUUUACUAAUGUAAGUUUUUUAAAAAGUAAAAUAUCCCAACUUCACUACUAAGAAAAAGAAUUAAAAGAAGGAAAUUGUGUGAGGAAAAAUAUAAAUGUGUUUGAUAAACAAAACAGAAAUGAAAUAUGAAAAUUGGGUGGUUAGGGAAAAUAACUGAAUAAGCAACACAGAAAUGUAUACUGCACUUUUUAAACCUUAAGUAUCCCAAUAAUGGCUCAAUUCUCUAAGUCAGUAUAGUGCAGGGCAAAGGGCCUGAUUUAGAGUUGGAGAUUCUGAGUACUUAGCCUGGGGUCAACCCUAAGCAUCUGUGUGUCUUUGGCCAACUCACUAAGAUAUGAAUGCUCUCAUUCAUUCUGUUGAGAUUAACACUGGCAUGACUAAUUAAAAUUACAGAGUAAUAAAGAUAAUAACAAUAGCUAAUUCUUAUUGUUUAUUAUGAGAUGAGUUCUUUACAUGUAUCAUGUAAUUUAACACUUAAAACAAUCUGACAAGAUGAGUUAUGAUAAAAAUUCUAGGCAACAUUGAUUAAACCACUCUUUGUAUACUACUUUUCCUGUCAGGAAAUAGGGUUAGUGAGUUGAAGCAUUGUAAGGACUAUGUUUGAAGUGUUUGAAGCUGUGUCUCUCUGACUCCAGCACACAUCUUUUAAAUAAGUAUGCAAUAUAAAAAAGGGAGCUAAAGAUUAAGUACUCAUUUUUCUAGUUAGGUAAACCAAGCAGAAAAGAAUUGAAAUACUUUUCUUAAAAUCACAUAACAAUUUAGGAGCAGCUGGAAAGAAAUAUUCUAUAGCUAAUGUGAUUGCCUUGCACUAUGAUAAAUGUAUUCUAAAGUUAGGAAGAAUGACUGGCCAGUUGUGAAGCAGAAAGUUACCACUUACAUUUGACAGGAAAAUGUAAGUUUUGAUCAGGUAAGGAUUUACGGUUGAUUUUCUAUUAUGGCUGUAACAUAUUGCUACAAAUUUAGUAGCUUAAAACAAAAUACAUUUAUUAUCUCACAGCUCCAUAGGUCAGGAGUCCUGUGGGCUUGGCUAGUUUCUCUAUUUCAAGUCUUAUAAGGCCAAAAUCAAGGAAUUCUCUUCUGGAAGUUCUGAGAGAGAAUCUACCUCCUGAUUCAUUCAGGUUGUACAGCUGGGGUCCCCAUUUCUUUGCAGGCCUGUAGGCCUCUUUCUAGUCCUUGUAUGUGGGUCCCUGGCAAAGCCAUCAUCUGUCGUAUCUCUUCUGCUCCCUUUUUAUCUGUUGCAUCUCUCUGACUAUUCAACCUUCCUCUUCUACUUUGAAGUGCUCAAAUGAUUAGUUUAGUGUAGCAGAGUAAUUCAUGGUAAUCUAGGAUAAUCUUCCUAGUUUAAGGUCCAUAACCUUAAAAUGACAGAUUCUGGGGAUUAGGGCAUGGGAAUACUUGGGGGGUCAUUAUUCUGUCUACCACAGGAUUCUUUUAUCUGUACCACUGGUUCUCGACUCUAGCUGUAUACUGGAAUCACCUUAGAAACUUGAAAAAAAUGCUUAUGCCUAGGCUCCAAUCAAGAUGAACUGAAUCCAAAUUUCUUGCAGUAGAAUCCAUACAGUGAUUUUUUUUUUUAGGUGUCAGAAAAGUAUAAUAUGCUUCAUAGGACUAAUAACAUUCUCUAACACCAGUUUCUUCAACUUAAUUAAAUUCAUUUUGUAAGCAAUCCAUUCAAAAUACACUUUCUUUUUCAUUUUUUUAAGUUUAUUUAUUUAUUUAGAGAUGAGUGAGGGAGGGGCAGAGAGAGAGGAAUAGAGACAGAAUCCCAACCAGGUUCCAUGCUAUCAGUGUAGAGCCUGAUGAGGGCUCAAUCCCACAAACUGUAAGAUCAUGACCUGAGCCAAAAUCAAGAGUUGGACACUUAACCAACUGAGCUACCCAGGCACCCAAAACACACUUUCUAUGUAUUCUUUUUAUGGCUAGGUUUGGGAAUUAUAGAGGUAUGUAUAAUGCAUGUCCUACUCUUACCGUGCACACAAUCUAGUGGCACAAACAGACACACACACCAAAGAAUUACAACAUAACAGGAUGCAUUUUAUUUAUUUUUAUUUAUUUAUUUUUUAAUGACUAUGUAUUUGAGAGAGAGUGUGAGUGGGGGAGGAGCAGAGAGAGAGGGAGAGAAUCCCAAGUAGGCUCUGCACUGCCAAUGCAGACCCUAAUGCAGGGCUUGAUCCCACAAACUGUGAGACCUGAGCUGAAAUCAAGAGUCAGAUGCUUAACUGACUGAGCCACCCAGGCACCUCUAGUAUAGAUUAAAAAAAAUUUUUUUAAUGUUUAUUUAUUUUUGAGAGAGACAGAGACAGAAUGCGAGUGGGUUAGGGGCAGAGAGAGAGGGAGACACAGAAUCCAAAGCAGGCUCCAGGCUCUGAGCUGUCAGCACAGAGCCUGAUGUGGGGCUUGAACUCACAAGCUGUGAAAUCAUGACCUGAGCCGAAGUGGGAUGCUUAACUGACUGAGCAGCACAGGCACCCCCCCCCCCAGUGNNNNNNNNNNNNNNNNNNNNNNNNNNNNNNNNNNNNNNNNNNNNNNNNNNNNNNNNNNNNNNNNNNNNNNNNNNNNNNNNNNNNNNNNNNNNNNNNNNNNNNNNNNNNNNNNNNNNNUUUUGUUUUGUUUUGUUUUGUUUUGUUUUGUUUGGUAAACUCUACACCCAACAUAGGGCUUGAGCUCACAACUCCGAGAUCAAGAGUUACAUGCUCCCCCAAAUGAGUCAGCCAGUUACCCUCUUAGUAGUUAUUUUUAAAAUAAUCUGGCAGGGGGGCGCCUGGGUGGCUCAGUCGGUUAAGCGUCUGACUUCAGCUCACAGUCCGUGAGUUCAAGCCCCGCAUUGGGCUCUGUGCUGACAGCUCAGAGCCUGGAGCCUGCUUCAGAUUCUGUGUCUCCCUCUCUUUCUGCCCCUCCCCUGCUCAUGCUCUGCCUCUGUCUCAAAAAUAAAUAAAAACAUUAAAAAAAAUAGUCUGGCAGGACCUAGAGACAGAGGAAUGUAGGUGUGUUCAGGUCUCAGCAUGGUCUAAUGAGGAUGAUGUAUUAACAUUGUGCUUCUCAAAAUUUAAUAGACCAAUAAUUUCCUUGAAGGCUUACACAAAAUGCAGAUUCCCAAGUUUUUCUCCAGAAGAUACUGAUUCGUUGGGUCUAUGGUGGGGCCUAGACAUUCUGACAUGUUCAAGAAGUUCCAGUAGUGAUUCUGAUGCAAAUCAUCCAUGAACUCACAAUUGGAGGAACAAUGGUUCAUACUACAUCAAUGAUUUGCUACCUGUUCAUUCAAUAGUCUAAAAAAUUAUGGAAGCUCCAAGUGAAAUUAUUUUUCUUUACAAACCAUAUAGUUUGACCUCCUUAUAUCAAUAACAGAUGUUUAGGAAAAAGAAUCCUUCUGUUUUAAUUUUCUUACUUCUUCAUUUAUUGAAAGUGUUAAGGACAGGCCAGGAUAGGGGUAGGAAAUUCAAACCUUAUAUUGUCAUUUCUUUCUUAAAUAUUCGAUUGUAAGUAAAGAAAGUAAUUUGUAAAAAUAAUUCUAGCAGAAAGACUUAGGUUUUGCCCAGAAAUAAACAGUGAGGAGAAAAUAAAAGGUAACCAGGAUUCUUGUACUUUGACAUUUUUCUUGAGUGGCACAAUCUAUUCUACAUUGAAUAAAACAACAGAAAGAAACUUCCAUUUGCCAUACAAGUAUAGAAUACUGGGGUUGAAGGAGAGUGUUCAUUCCUUAUUUUGAUUCAGAAAUGUAACUUCUUGAAUAUGUCAUAUGGGAAAGACACAUACUAAAUAGAAAACGCCUUACUUUGUUCACACAAGGGUUCAGGAUGCUUCAUGGCAAAUGAGAUAGGUGUGGGAAAUGCUUCUGUUAGCCUACUUUAUAGUGACUGGAUAAAUAAGUGGAAAAAAAGAAAAUGGCAUAGGGCCCAUAAAAAUGCAAAAUACGUUGGAAAUGGAAGAUUGUAAGUUAAAAGUUGUGGGUUUUUUUCUUAAUCUUGAAGUGAACAUAUACUUUUAGUAUCAGGGUUAGGCAACUCAACUAAAAAUAAAAAUCAUCAUAAAGAAAAUAAAUUAAUGAAAUGUGCAUAUAGGAAUAUAAAAAUUGAGAAAAUAAAAAGUAGGUUUGCAAGGCACUACUAUGCAUUUAGAGGAUUUAGGUUUUUGUGAUAACUUAGUAUUGAUUAAGUCACACUGAUUUAUACAUUUUUUAUGUAGAAUAAAACAUGAUUUCACACUGAAGUAAGCAAAAAAAGAUUGGUUAGAAGUUUUGCACUUGGAAAUGUAGAUCCAUGAAAAAUGUCUUGUGGUACAGAUCAAUGGUAAUUUUAGGAAAUGAAACCGGGAUGAUAUUACAUAGAGCCCUAAGUGACUAGAAACCUAUAUUUCAAAAGUUCUUUGAAGUUUUACAACAUUCUUCAUUUCUUAAUGUUCUUUUCUCUGAUGAAAUAAAUCAUUUUUAGAUUAUGUUGGUGAUUUUUUGGCAAGAGGAAUGAAGAUCUUUUUAUUUCAUGUGUACAGUAAAGAAAAUUAUUUUGUUUCUAGUAGUAGAACCAAAUCUUCCACUUUGUUUAAUUUUGGGAAGUGAAAAUGAAAUAGUACUGAUAAGAUCCGUGAGGCUAGCAGUUAAAGAGAAUGUCAGUUAACUACUAGCAGGAUCAUUAUGAUCACAAAUCCACUUAAGAGUUCAAAUUAGAGCUGUCUUAGUUUUAAAUAAGUUCUUUUCCUACUACACAAACCUAAAGACACUUGGAAAAACCCACUAGCAGAUUUAGUCAUUUAACCGCACCCUUAAUUACAUACUUCAUUUCUCCUUAGAAUUGAAUGGGAGCUACUACAUCUCACAAGGCAAUGUGCAACUCAGUUGUCAGUAAAUAAUUUAACAAGAUUUGAAAGAGAUUUACAAUGAUUUGCUUAAAAGAUCUGGUCAGUUAAUAUCAAAUGCAUUUUAGCAAAUGUAAAUUUGGAGUAAGCUAAAUAUAGAAAAGAGAACCGCUCGCUGAAUGAACGUUGUAGAGGUAGCAUGCAAAGAACCACUGAGCUAAACUGAAGAAUACAAUUAAACAUACUUCUGAUGACAAUCAUGGCAUUACAUCUACCAACAUGAGACUCAGUCUAAACUGACCUUCAGCUGUAUCUGUAGGGGUGCUACCUGCAUGCCCAGUCAUGAUCCUUCCAUUAUGGAUCUACAGAACUUUUGGUGAAAGUGAUCUUUCCUUCAUAACUGCUGCUCCCCACGUAUGUCCGCUGGCAGGAAAAUUUGAUAGGUUUUGUCAGGUAGAUGACUGAAAUGAAUUGGAUCACCACACAAAAUGGGCAUUGUUAGACUUUAUGGAGCGUACAGGAGUCCACCAUAGGUUUGAAAAACUGCCACCCAACCUUGCUGCUGCAUCCUUGAUAAAACCAGAGGCCACAGACUGGCCGCUGGAUUAGGAGUGCUACAAGUUUACACAGUGCAAAAUACCCCCUGGUUACUAGUAGCACACGUUCCAGAUCAUUUAAGAAUAGGGUGAAGAAGGAAACUAUAAAAGUGGAAUGAUUUGCAUUGGUAAAUAUUUCGUGAAUUGAAUAAAAUCUUUAAUUAUCGGUGCCAGAAUUAUCUAGUGAACCCUAAAAGGAAUUUCACUCAAAUACUCUUUAGAACUCUGAUUUUGAAGCCUAUUAGAUAAGCAACAAAAAUAACUGCUCAUGUUGUAUAAAAGUUUUUUCACAUAUAUUGGGUUUGGCAAAAUUCCAAAUGUGUUUUUGAAGCUCUUUCCCCUUCCAUUUUCCAGUUUAUGUGCAUUUUAUAGUUCAUUUAAUCCUAACUCAUGUAUAAGUUAUGAAAGCAUUAUUUCAUAAAAACCUUGAUUUACAAAUAGAAUAAUAUUUCUUUACAUUCUUAUUUGUGUAUUUCUGUUUUAUAUAUAUUUACUACAGAGAAAUGUAAGCUACCAAUGUUUUAAAUUUGGCUUAACCUUUAUAAAGACUUACAAAGCAGUAAAUUACUGUUUAUUCAGUAUCUCAACAACCACAUAACUUGACAGAUCAAUAGUUUUGGGGACAUUCUUUCAUAAGAAAGUAAAAAUGCUGAUAGAGCAACAUUUUUUUUUCUGAUUUUCAUUGUCAGUAUGGAUUCCGACACUAUCUAAAGCCUUCUAAUAGAAGAAAUAGCAGUUAAUUAAUAGUUAUGAUUAGUUUCCUUGAUUGCAAGUUCAAAAUCCUAAAGUAGUUUAUUGGCUUAUUUUUUUCAUUCAUUUACAGGAAAUAUAAAUUAACCAAAGAUACACGGAUCAAUCGGAUAUGGUUUCUGGCUUUGAAAAAAAACAUAUGAGCAAGGGAAAUGGAUAUAUGUAACUAAGACUAAUAACACAUUCCAAGAAGUUAUUAGAUAAAGAAAGUUAUUCAAAGGAAAAUUAAACUGUGGUUUAAUUUAAAAGUUUAGUAUCUUAACCAUCCUAGAUGAAUGGAAAUUAACUUGAAUGGAAAUUAACUUGGAAGUUAAUAGUUUCUCCAUAUAAUGGAAAACAACAAAUAUUUGUGACAAAACUCAAAUAUAUUGUAAGCAAAAGAGAUUUUAAAAAAUUAGAAUAGCUUAAUACAAAUAUCAUUAUAAUAGAGGUAUUUUCUUUGAAAAUUUCUAUUUCUCAUGGAAAUUAUGCAGACUCAUUAAAUAAUAUUAAAUUAUUACAUCGAUCAAUAUUUCAGGUCAUGACCCCUGGAUUUAAGAAAUUCUUCAAGACAACAUCAAAUAUGAUCCGGGGGAAAAUGUGAUUUGAGUCUGGAGACAAUUGUGUAUGUAAGUAUUGGAAAAUUAGAUUUUCUCAUGGUAAAAUUUAAUAAAAACUAAAAUAUCAACUCAUUAAUUACUAUAUUGACAAAACUUUUAUUCAUUGUUUUCCUUGUUACAACAUUUUUUUAAAAUAUCUAAAAUUAAUAUAAUGCCUCCUCAUUUUUAGCUAUUUUUUUAAGAAGAUCAACUAAUAAUAAAAACCCAGUAUAUCUGAUAGAAGAGAAACGUUAUUUGGAAGAUUACUACAAUUAAAAAGAAAAGCUGUCUACGUGAGUCAUUGGUAAGGGCAAGCAAUGACAUAGAUUCAAGUUGCUAGAAAUUGGUGUGCUUUUGUUGCAUGUGAUAAUAAAAAUAAUAAUUUAAUAUGUGGAAAAACUUUUUAUAAUUCUUACUUUACCAUUGGACCUAUAAUAAAAAUCAUGACAAGGUUCUUAACAAAAUUAAGUAUUAGUUCAUAGCUUUCUGGCAAAUAUCUAUUGAUUGGAUUUUUUAAAUCUCUGUUGAUAAAUACUUCAGAUACAUUCACUUAAAUAAAUAUUGUAUUAUGACUAUAUCAUGAUAAUUUUUAUCUCAUAAAAGCACUGUCAAAGUAGGUUGCUCAUGGACCUUACAGUGAGUAAGCAAUCCCAGCAAUGUUUGUCUCUAAGAAUUAAGAUGUUAGGGGGUGUUGUUUUAGAGUCCAUUUUCAUUAGCUCAGGAUUGUAUCUACCAUUAGAAAAAUUUCACAGAAAUACUUUAUGUAGUAUUGUCCAUUUCCUGUAACCUUAUUUUAAUAUAGAUAAUUUAGGAAUAUUUUAGUUCCCAAUUAAAGGAAAAAUAAUUUCUAUUAAAUUAUAAGGCCAUUUUUGUGAUGUAUGGUUGUUGAGUCUCAAGAAAUUGGCCUGAGGAAAGUUUUUCCCCUUAAAUUAUUGAAGAGUCAGAAAAUUAAAAAUGAGGUUAAUAUAUAUAGGAGAUAAAAGUGAGCUUUAUGGUAAAAUAUGCUAUCAAAAUUUGUGCCUUUAUGCUCUUGUGAAAUUCUUUGUCUUGAUACUUUAAUUAUUUUAUUCCAAUUUUGGUAAAAGCAAAGAAAGUAAGAUGUUUUCUAAUUACUUAAAUUACUUAUUAUAUGGUUUUAAAAAAAUUACCACUGAGUACCAUAUAAAUUUAUUUUAUAAAUAUUGAUUAAUUAUAUUUCUUUCAUUUUUAUUUGCAGUUUGAUUUAUAUUGUACAGCAUAUUUAAUUUUGGCUUCAAUGAUGGAGAAAAAAUGUAUCCUGUAUUUUCUGUUUAUCUUGCCUUUUUUUAUGGUAAGGAUAAAUUCCUCUAAUAUAUCUCUCUAUUUAUGAUUAUUUAUUUUGACUUCCAAUAAACCUAUAAUUAAUAAACAUUAAUAACAACAAAAUGACAUACAGUUAUUUGAUGCAUAAAUUAAGUACAUUAUUAAUCAACAGAGCAAUGCUUUAUUUUCUUUCAGUGUAUCCUUUUAGGCUUUAAUUCACUAGGAGGCACUAUAGGAUGGUUGGGCAGUGAGGUGGGAGUGGGAUGUUAAAGUGAGGAAGGUCCAUGAUAAAAAUGUAAAAGAUACCAGAGGAAGGUAAUCGUCAGAGUUUGAAAGAAAAAUGAAAUGGCUCUAUACUACAGUCAUAUAUAUUAAAUAAAAUACUUUCAACCAGACCUGUUGAGUAUGUGUUAGAUCUGUUUAAAAGUAGAUUCCAACCUGUUGGUUUUUCUCCCAUUCUGCCAACUGAUUGAUUUACAUUAACUGAAACCAUGCACUGUUUUAUGUUUUAAUUUUUUAAUGUUUUAUUUUUGAGUGAGAGAGAGAGAGAGAGAGCGAGCAUGAGUGGGGGAGGGGCAGAGUGAGAGGGGGACACAGAAUAGGAAGCAGGCUCUAGGCUCUGAGCCCAACAUGGGGCUCAAACCCACCAACAGUGAGAUCAUGACCUGAGCUGAGGUCAGAUGCUUAACCGACUGAGUCACCCAGGCACCCCAACCACGCACUGUUUUCAAUCAAUUUCCUUAUCCAUUCAUUCAAAUGAGUAUGAAGUGCCUGUUUUCUGAUGGACUUUGAUGCUAAAUUUGGGGCAGUUGUAUAUGUGAAUGUGAGCACUCAUGUGUGCCCUUGCACACAGCUGCGGGGAAGGUGAGACUGGAGGUGGAGGGUAGACUAAGGAUGACUACAAAUCUAUUGCCCUACCGGAGGGGCCAUAUUCCUUACACACACAAUUGGAUGUUUAUUUACAGAAAUAUUUUGUUCACGUUUUUCUCUCUCCCACAUUAAAACAGGGACUGUACUCUUAUCUCACUUAUAUCUAUAUAUAUAUUAGAAACCGACAGAUGUAAUCUCAUCUGAUUCUGUGCCAGCACAUAAAUUUCCUGUGGUGUUUUCAAGCAAACCCCAAAAGAGGAUUUAAACAAAGAAACUCAAGAAAAAUAUAGAAAACCUAAAUGGGAAAAAAAAAAAAGCCUACAUUCCUAUCAGCAUUUGUAUUUGAAAACAUUCUCCAGUCUAGGAGCAGUCCAAAUCCUACACUUCUUAGAUGUUAUCUUAGGUAAAUAGCCUAGAAUUCAAGAAGCAGGACUCCUGUUUCUUCAGCUCCCUCCCUGCACUGAGCGUGCCAAUGAACUGCACAGGCCAACUCUGGUUGCCUGCAGGUAAUUCUGUAUCAGAUUACCAAUCUGAUUACUGUAAUUUAAGGAAUUGUGACCAUUUUUCUUGAAUUCAUUCAGAUAGUGCAAAGCUGUGUUUUUAAGAAUAAAAAUGAUAUUGAUUUUAUGCAAUUCUAUAAACUUCCUGAGAACAGGAGAAAAAUACUAAUUUUCUUAAUGCUGUAAAUUUACAUUUAUUGCUUGUGCAGCACAAAUGCUGCACAAAUCUUUAUUAGGAAAUUAAAACUAACCAAAGAACGAGAGAAUAAAUGUUAAAUGGUGCUCAGGUGAUAGUGAGGCUUGAGUGGUACCACACACUGAGGGAAUGUAACUACUUAGACUUUGGUAAAUAUGAAUUCGGGCUAGAGAACAGAGAAUCGAGUAUAAGGGAACAAAAUAAGAGUAGAAAAUUAAUGCUUAUGAAUGAUAAUUAAAGGAAAUAAUGCAAAAGUGAAGAAGAAGUAAGGUUGAGGGAGGUUAUACAGGCUUCAUAUUGCAAAACAGUAACAAAAAGUCAUGCAGAUAUUAAAAUGGAAGUGAAACUUAAAUAGUACUACUAAAUUGGAAGAUCUUAAAUAUAUACCUUGUCCAAAACGUUUAUUGAUGUACAUACAGUAAAAAUUCUAUUUACCAAUGACAUAAAUGAACUUCUCAAUAUUUUGAUGAUCAAAAUUUGAUAAUAAAAAUGGCCAACAGUUUUGAAUAUUUACCAUGUGUCAAAUACUUCCCGUUAUUUUUUUUUUUAAGUUUAUUUUGAGAAAGAGAGAAUGCAUGUGUCAGAGCAGAGGAAGGGCAGAGAAAGAGAGGGAGAGAAUCCCAAGCAGGCUCCAUGUUGUCCGUACAGAGCCCAUAGCGGAGCUCAAACUCAUGAACCCAUGAGAUCUUGACCUCAGUUCAAAUUGAGAGUCAGCAUUUAACUGACUGAGCCACCCAGGCGCCCCAUUUCCCUCUGUUAUCUUGAUACUAUUUUAUCCCAUUAAAAUUUUUUUUAUUCCAUUUUACAAUAAGAAAGCAGAGCCUUAGGGAACUUAAAUACCUUGCCCAUAUUCACAGAGCAGGUGAAAAAGUAGAGGUGGAUUUUCAAUACAACUCUGUCUGUAUUCCAGAGCUCACGUCCUAGAGCCAGAUCCUAUAGGCUUCUGAGAACCGACUAUAGCCUGUUUCCCAGAGCUGCCAUUUACAGCUACUUGAGGUCACUUGAAAUUAAACAUGGUGGGGACAUUUAAACCAUGAAAAUUAGCAAACGGUUCAAAUCAGGGAUUUUCCCCCCAGAACCAGUUAACCAUGUAGCAUAUCACUGCAGCUACUCUUUUUCCACUGUGACAGACUGCCUCUGACAGACAUUCUCACAAUUCUGAUUUUUUUUUUUAAAUCCCUUAGAUUCUUGACAUAGCAGAAUCAGAAGAGAACAUUGAUGACUUAAAUGAGUUCGGUGUCUAUACUAGAAAUAAAAUCAUGACAGCUCAGUAUGAAUGUUACCAAAAAAUUAUGCAAGACCCUAUUCAACAAACAGAAGGUAAACAUGACUAUUUAAUUUUUAAAUGCCUUUGAUACCCUUUUAAAAGAAAACUACUCCAUUAUAUCAUUUAUGGGUUUCUUAGGUCCAUUGUUAAAAAUGGGUUAGUUAGCUUUCCUGUUACAUGUGCAUUCUUACUUAUGAAGAAAUUUAUGACAUAAUUUAUCUUGCUCCUUUUUAAAAAAUUCUAAUUCAAACUAUGUGCAACAGGAAUAUUUUUAGUAAUGUUUUUUAUGGUACAAAGAUAUUUAAAAUAUCAAAUGUGUGUCUUUAAUUAAAUCAGUGACUUGAUCUUCAGCUUAUGUAAUUUGUAUUUCUCUUUCACAAGCUGCUUGAUAGGAGCUUGCAUAAUAAAUUAUAAUUUUUUUGCACAACACGUGCUUUGUAUAAUACAUUUGGUCUAAGUGCUUCUGUUUCUAUUAAGAUAUUCUUUAGAUACUUUUAUAACAUUAUUGAAGUCCUGCUAAGUGCCAGAUAUUUGCCUGGAUUCUGAAGAUACAAAGAUGAGUAGCACAAUUAGAGUUGCUAGAUUUAGCAAAAACAAAAUAAAAAAUCAAGACCAAAACCAGGCCCUGUAUUUUUAUCUGGCACAGGUAUAUCUUCAAAAUGUAAAACGUGAAACUCACAAUGAAACAUAGCAAAAUGUAAAGACUUUAGAUAUUUCUUUUUUUUAAUUUUUUUUAAUGUUUAUAUUUACUUUUGAGACAGAGGGAGACAGAGCAUGAGCGGGGGAGGGGCAAAGAGAGAGGGAGGCAGAAUCCAAAGCAGGCUCCAGGCUCUCAGCUGUCAGCACAGACCCUGAUUCGGGGCUAGAACUCAACCGCGAGAUCAUGACCUGAGUUGAAGUCAGACGCACUGACUGAGCCAUCCAGGCGCCCCUAGACUUUAGAUAUUUUUAAAUUAUCAGUGGAUACAAAGAUCUUUACAUUUUUGGAAAAAUAUUUGAUGGUAUUAUAAUGUUUCUUAUAUAAAUGAAAUGUUGACAGUAGGUUAUUAUUAGUAUUUGUAACUGACAAAAUGAACUUGCUUGUGAGAAAGAGAAAAAAGUGAUUUUCCCACAUUGGUCAACUUUUAGAACUUUUAGAAUUGUAAUGAACAAUUCUUAAUGAAAAAUCUAAUGGAACAAUAUAAUUUGAUAAUCUUUGGAGAAGUAUUUAGAUAGACCUAUCCAAACAUUUUUUUAACGAGAUAUUUAUUCAGUUAAAAAUAUCUUGGAUAUAUACCAGACACUGACAAACUAUCUGAUAUUAUGUCACUAGGAGUUAAAUUAUCCAGUACACAAACUGCAUACAAAUUCUGUUAACUUAUCUGACUUAUCACUUUAUUCCACUAAACUCCAAGUUUCAAGUUUCAAAUUAUUGAAUUAACCCCUUCCAAAUCAUGUAGAUAUAUGUAAAAGUAGUCUUCGAAUCUCAUUGUUGAACAAUAGGAAUAUCUUUGAGUGUUUCAUAAUAAAAUAAUUUUGUGAUAAAAUAAUUUUAGAAUCACUGUGUAAUAAAUCCUCCUCUUGGAGCUUCAUAAUGCACUUUGUAAUUUUAAAUACUCUAGCAAGUCUUGCAAGAAAGAACUGUCUUCAUUUCAACUUUAUGCUUCCCAAAUCUUUUGACCACAGAAACUCUUUUAAUGGAAUACCUACUCCUGUCUCACUCAAAUGCCAUACAACACAUGUGAAAAAUUCUGCCCUGUGUAAUCUAUCAUACUGCCAGUGUUAUCAUUAAUUAGAUGGGAUCUUUUGGACAGGUGAUAGAAUCUGUUCGAGAUGCUUUCUAUCAGGGAAUUCUUCUCUGUUAGGCCACAAAAUGCAUUUUAUUUAGUAAUAUAUGAAUGUAGACUAUUUAAAUAAGUGAAAACCACAGGAGAAAGAAACAGAGAUGAAAUGAGUUAUUUUUUAAUAGAAUUUAAUAGAAUUACUUACUUAAUAAUUUAAUAGAAUUACUUACACUUUCAGGCCAGUAGAAUUUUUUUCUACCUCGAUGAAGAUUAGAUUGAGUCUGAGAUUAUGGCACAAAUCUGUUAAAAAAUAAUAAACAUCUCAUGAAACAUUUGGGCUUCUAUCUAUGAGUACUUGCCCGACUAGGUGAAAAAUUAUUUUCUUUAAUUAUAGACUGUUAUAAGAUUGGACUAUUGGUCAUUUUAUUUCUCCAUCCCUUUUUUAAAAAAAACUUAUAUUUGUUCAUGUAAGAGGAUCUUUCUCUUCAGUUUACUAAAAGGAAAAUAUGAGAAUGUUUACAUUCUACUCCAUUUGAAAUGUGAAGGAAGGGAAGUACCAAAUUGUAUUUGGUAGAGGGGCCUGAAUAUCUGUUAGGGUCAAUACUGUGAAAUAGGAAGUGUUAGGGUGUUCAUUUGUUUAUCUCAGAAAAUACUAAAACCUUGCCCUAAGAACACAUUUUCCAAUUUCUCAUACUUUUACAAAGUUUUAAGUAUAGGGACACUAAGUAACUACUACCUUUAUGGUUAAGGACAGCCAUCAAAGACCACUUGAUUUAUUGAAUGAAUAGCCACCUUUGAGAACUGGAAUUAAAUCUAAACUCUUCAGUACACUUUUAAGGAUAUUUCUAAAUUUAAUUUGGCAAUAAACCCAAUAAUGACUUGAUGAAAAACUUACCAGCUAUGGAUUUUAUAUGGUCUUCAUUUGCAGUUGGUAGUAUGUAUUUCAUGUCAGUAUUAGCCCAUCAGUAAGACUUAUGUUUUCAUGUAUAACUAAAGGGAUUAUUAAUCACUGAUUUUUAUUCUUCUCUUAAGGUAUUUACUGUAACAGAACCUGGGAUGGGUGGUUAUGCUGGAAUGAUGUUGCCGCAGGAACCGAAUCAAUGCAGCACUGCCCUGAUUACUUUCAGGACUUUGAUCCAUCAGGUAGAAACAGAGAUUUAUAUACAGAUCCACUUGACAUUAAAUAAACUCUAAAUUAAUCGCAUUAAUGUUUUCUUCUUUUCUUUUUAAUUAAAGAAAAAGUUACAAAGAUCUGUGACCAAGAUGGAAACUGGUUUAGACAUCCAGAGAGCAACAGGACAUGGACAAAUUAUACUCAGUGUAAUCUUAACACACACGAGAAAGUGAAGGUAUGGAAUAAUUAUGAACUCAAAUGUAAAUAACAUGAUCUACUUACAAAGUUAGUUACUGAUAGGGUAUUGGAGAAAAUUUAGCUAGUGUUCCAUUGUGUUGUAAAGCCUUUUUAUAAGCAAUGGAGAAAAAUCUUUGUGGAAAUAAUUAUUCAUUCUGUCAUUACACAAAGGAAGCAAUCCUGCUAGGUAAUAGUGUAUUUACAAGUCAAUGUGUUGGUAUAGGAGUUUCAAAUUUCCCAAAGAAAACAUAUUUUAAAAGGGAAAGAAAAGGGAACAUAUUCAUUGGUAUUGGAAUUUCUAGAACUAAGUUCAGGAAUUGUGCUCAAGUAAACAAAGUAAGUCCAAAAGGGUGUACACAACUCUAUCUGUCCCUCAACAGAAGGCUGUCCUGACUGGCUGCUAGGUUACUCACUCACAUUCCCACUUUUAACACAAUACAUUAAAGUCAAGGUUAGUCACAGUUUGUCACAACGAUUAAGCUUUGAUAGAAAGUGCCUGAAUACAUUUGCACAGGUGUGAAUAUACAGGCAGUUUGUCAGUGAUUGGAACAGAGUCCUGAUUUCUUGUUCCUAUUCUUUACCAGCCAUAUGACCUCAGGCAAGCUUAUAACCUCUCUCUGCCUCAGUUUCCUUGUAUAUAAAAUGAAGAUAACAAUAAACCUAGCCUCAAGGUUUUCGUAAGGAUUGACUUAAUACAAGGAAAAUUCUUAGAAAACUCAUAGGUAUAUAGUAAGCAUUUGAUAAAUGUCAGCUAUCACUAUACUUAUAAAUUGUGUUCUUUGCUUAUUCAGAGAAGAUUUUAAAGAGAAGUAUAAAAAUAUACAAUAAAAUGGUAAGUUACAAAUAGAUUACAGGAAAAUAAAAAAACAAAGAGGAAGAGUGAAACCAUGUGAGAAAACAUAUUUGUAUAGAUUAGAGGCUCCUAUAAUUGCUAUAUUGAGAUUAGUCUUGGGGCUUCAAAUUUGUUAAAGGAAAAAGAAAAACCCAGUAGGAAAGAAAGCCUUAUCUAAAAUAAACAAAAAUAAUUAAUAGCAUUUAACAUUCACAAAGUGAUAGAGUAAAAACUGUCAAUGUCCUUCAAAACACAAAAUGCUACUUUAAAGUAUUACAAAACCUAGAUCAAUAAAAUUAUUCCUUCCUAGGUUUAAUAUAUGAUUUCUAAUUUUCUACAUUAAGAGGACAUACAAUUUAUAAAUGUUGAUGUCACUUGAUAAAUUUGCACAGAUACUCUUUAUUCCAGAUUUAUUUAAGUAUCUAUCUAUUGGUUUGUAAGCUAAAUGGCAAUGCGAGUAGAACACAUAUUUUUAGAAAUAUAAUUUGUUCUAUUGAUUUGAGCUUAUACACAUGUGGGAUUAUAGUAUUGAUAGGAAUCUUAAUUUUUUUUUACUCAUACCAAUGUAGACUGCACUGAAUUUGUUUUACCUGACUAUAAUUGGACAUGGAUUAUCUAUUGCAUCACUGCUUAUCUCACUUGGCAUAUUCUUUUAUUUCAAGUAAGUACAUGUAAAAUAUUUUUUAAUUUAUCAAUUGUCUUUGGUGAAUGCAGUGCCUUGUGCAUGUUUAUGUCAUGUGCUGAUAAAAUAUAGGAACAGAUGAUUUAUAAUGUUUAAAAUAAAUUGAACAUUUAGAAUAAUCUGAAAUAUAUUGAUUUUACCUUGACUUUAUAAAAUGUAUAGAGCAGAGAUUGAUGAAAUAUCUGAAGCCUAAGUAUGAAGUCAUGUGGAAAGAAGAGAGCCAAAAUCAAUAUGUAAAUGUAUCUGUAUUUGUUUUGGAAACUAUCAAAUAUUAUAGAACUUAUUAACUGAAUUUUCAACUUCUAGGUCAAUGUUAGUGUCAGUAUACAUGGUACAUUACAGAAACCAAUGGGAAUGUGGCAAUGGGAAUAAUACAUAUUAUCUAAUAAUAAUAAUAACCUAAAUAUAUUAUGGUUCGGUUAUUUUUCCUUGUUUUUUGGGGAGACUCAUCAUUAAUAUAGGUAGAUUGCAGUUUGAAUUUUACUUGAAAUUUACUUCUUUUUUGGGGAAGGAGAGUCAACUCCAAUUUCUUGAUUUAGACAAUCAACAAAUGAUUUUUUUAAUUGAUAGGAAAGUAAAUAUCAAAAUUUGCAUGCAGUAUUUUAUGCGUUAAAAUGGUUUAAUGGUUUUCAUAACUUGAUCACCACCAGUAAUUAUAGAAUGCAGUAUGGAGAGUGAGUAGCUGUAUUUCAUGGUAGCUUUAUCACCAUUGUCAUUAUCUUCCUCUUUCUCCUCCAACAAUUGUCUUGGAGCAUUAGCAGCUUCAGAAUCAGCUAGAGUAGUAGCAUACCACAAUAAUCCAAAUCUGGAAAUUAUCAAGCCCCUGGAUGUACCAGAGCACCAGCUUUUGGCCCACAGUCCAUCAAAUAUUCGGAGUGCAUCAAAGAAUAUACAAACCAACCAACCAUUGUCUCUCAUGGGUUCAAAAUCACAGGAUGUAGAGAUUGCAUCAGAACUGUACUAGUAUUUUUGGAAACCUGCACCUCUUUAAAAAUCUUCAAGAUUAGUUACUUUGAGGAAUCCACAUGGAAACUUUUUAAUGGCACUUUUAAUUUAUAACAUCAUCUAGGCACGAUUAGAAACUGACUUUAAAAAACUCCACUCUGAAUAAAGCUAAUUAAGCAUUAAUUAAAAGUCAGUUGAAAGGAAUUUUUAUCCUAAAAUAUGGAAAACACUUCUUAAAGAAUUAUUUUGCAACAAGUUACCAAAAGGUUUUUGAGAAAACCAACUGCCAGUUCUCAAUGCAUUUGUAAUUAGUUAUGUCAUAUCAGAUGCUUACAGCUUAUUAAAACUUCAUGUCUUUACUCAUAUAUACUCUUAGUUUACACAACAUUUUUUAAAUGAAUACUAUCUUUGGAGUAGAAAAAACUUUGUUAUGAUUGUAUAAUAGAUUAAAAAUAUCUCUUCUAAAAAUAGAAAAUAAACCAUUUUCCAAAGUGAUAAUUUUAGAGUCCUCUGGUCCAUAGUGAUAUAUAAUUUAUGCUAAUUGACAAAGUGAAGCAAUGUUGCUGAUGCUAACAAACUUAUUGGUAAAAUAUGGUAAUAAAUCUUGGUUAAUAUUUAGUGAAUUUAAAACACAAAAUAGGGGUGCCUGGGUGCCUCAGUUGGUUGAGCUUCCGACUUUGGCACAGGUCAUGAUCUCACAGUUCAUGGGUUCAAGCCCCACAUCAGGCUCUGUGCUCACCGCUUGCUCAGAGCCCAGAGCCUGCUUCAGAUUCUGUGUCUCCUUCUCUCUCUGCCCCUCGCCCAUGCAUGCUUUGUCUCACUCUGUUUCUCAAAAAUAAAUAAAUGUAAAAAAAAAACACAAAAUAAAAUUAAAAUUUCAAAUUCUCAUUUAGUAUAAUAAAAUGACUAAAUAGUUUCACAAAAAUAUAGUUCAUAUCCUUUCUAAUUCUAAAGGCAAAUCUUUACAAUUUAAAAAUACUACAUUUUAAAAUCUGACUGUCUUGGCUCUUGAAACUAAAUGAUACGGCUAAUUGCCAUUCAGUUUAUGCAGUACUCCUAGAACUCAGAUUUUUAGUUCACGAAAAUUACGUAUCUACCACACCAUAACAUACCAACACAUGGAAAGGAUUAAUUUAAAUAUAACUAGUGGUGGGGUGCCUGGGUGGCUCCGUGGACCCUUAAGCGCCCAACUUUGGCUCAGGUCAUGAUCUCGCAGUUCAUGAUUUUGAGCCCCACAUGCGGCUCUGUGCUGACAGCUCAGAGCCUGGAGCCUGCUUCAGAUUCUGUGUCUCCUUCUCUCUCUCUGCCCCUCCCCCACUUGCAAUCUCUCUCUCUCUCUCUCUCUCUCUCUCUCUCUCUCAAAAAUAAAUAAGCAUUAAAAAAAAAUUUAAUGUAACUAGGGGCACCUGGGUGGCUCAGUUGGUUAAGCCUCCAACUCUUGGUUUCAGCUCAGGUUAUGACCUCAUGGUUUCAUGAGUUCAAGCUCCACAUCAGGCUCUGUGCUGACCUCAUGGAGUGUGCUUGGAAUUUUCUCUCUCCAUCUCUCUCUGCCUCUCCCCCACUCACGCUGUCUCUGCCUCUCAAAAGUAAAUAAACUUAAAAAAAUUUUUAAAGUAACUAAUAUUAGCCAAGUUUCUUUUUUUUUAACAAAAAACUUAACAACUAUGACUGAAUAUAAAGGAGGUCAGCCUCUAUCCUGAAGGCAUAAAAUAGGAAUCAUAAGAGCUAUUUAAGACUGUCUUACAAAUCUUGGGGGAAAAAGGUAUGACUGUUAAAUAUUUUUAACCUUAGGAAAAAGAAUUCAUUCUUAAUUUAAAAAAACUUGAGGUGCUCUGGUGGCUCAGUCAGUGAAGAGUCCUACUCUUGAUUUCUGCUCAGGUCAUGAUCUCGCCAUUUGUGAGUUGGAGCCCCAUGUUGGCUCUGUGCUGAGCAUGGGGCCUGCUUGGGAUUCUCUCUUUCCCUCUCCCUCUGGCCCUCACACAAGUGCAUGCACUCUUUCUCUCUCUCAAAAAUAAAUAAACUAAAAAAUAUGAAUUUUUAAUUUUUUUAUUAAAGUUUAUUGAUUUUGAGAAAGAGAGAGGGAGAACAGGCUGAGAGAGCAGGACAGAGGAUCUGAAGCAGACUUUGCACUGAUAGCAGAGAGCCCCAUGCAGGGCUUGAACUCAUGAACCAUGAGAUCAUGAUCUGAGCUGAAGUGGUGGGACUGAGCCACCCAGGGACCCCCAAAAUAUGUAUUUUUAUUUUUUAUUUAUUUAUUUAUUUAUUUAUUUAUUUAUUUAUUUAUUUAUUUAUUUUUUACGUUUAUUUAUUUUUGAGACAGAGAGAGACAGAGCAUGAACGGGGGAGGGGCAGAGAGAGAGGGAGACACAGAAUCGGAAGCCGGCUCCAGGCUCUGAGCCAUCAGCCCAGAGCCCGACGCGGGGCCCGAACUCACGGACCGCGAGAUCGUGACCUGAGCUGAAGUCGGACGCUCAACCGACUGAGCCACCCAGGCGCCCCAAAAUAUGUAUUUUUAAAACAAACUAUAAUCUUGAGAAACAAGAUUUGCACUUAAAUUUGCAUUUUUUUAAAAAAUAAAAAAAAAAAUUAAGCAUGUUACUAAUUCUUAAACAAAAGAAUAUAUAAACCUGUAAUUUUAAUAUCCUAUUGAGCAAUUUCUUAGAUUUUUGUAGUUUUAUUUCAUAUUAAUUUGUUUUUACAGUUUUAGUUGCAAAGUAUUUUAACUAUUUUUAUAAUUUAGCAUUAUAUAAUUCUUUCCAUGUCCCUAAAGAGUUUUUAAAACUCUUCAGUUUAUUAUUUAGUUAUUUACUUGGCUAAAUAAUAUUCCAUUGUGUAAGCUGACAAAAGUUUAUUAAAUUGUCCCAUGUUUUAAUUUUUUUUUUUAACGUUUAUUUAUUUUUGAGACAGAGACAGAGCAUGAACAGGGGAGGGGCAGAGAGAGAGGGAGACACAGAAUCUGAAACAGGCUCCAGGCUCUGAGCUGUCAGCACAGAGCCCGAUGCGGGGCUUGAACUCACGGACCGUGAGAUCAUGACCUGAGCCGAAGUCCGACGCUUAACCGACCAAGCCACCCAGGAGCCCCUGAUUGUCCCAUGUUUUAAAUAGUAACAUUACUUCCAGUUUUUCCUGUUAAUAAAAAACACUGUAACAGACAUUUUCAGCCAUAACUUUUCCCAUAUUUGGCACUAUUUUUUUAGGCUACAUUCCCAGAGACUUGGGAUUUUUUUGGUCAAAGAGUAGAUAUCUUUUUAUGGCUCUUCAAAUACAUCAUCUCAAAAGUAUCUGAAUAUCAAUAUGCUUAAAAAAAAAUCAUAAUACAUACCUCCUCCUAACUCAAAGCAGUUUUUCUCCCAGAGUGACCCAUCUUCAAGAUUACCACCACCAGCAAUCUAGUUGAGUUAGGGGCAAUCUGUGGCACCUUCUCAACUUUCUUCCUAAUCAUUCUUCCUCAUACUCUGGAUUUCACCUCCUAACAGCCCUCCAAUGGAUCCAGUUAGUUUAUCUCUGCUGCCACCACCACCAACCUUGUCUUAACUAGCCUCAGGAAGUUCCCCUUUACCACCUUCAUUCAAUUCUAAACAAUGCAAGCCAGAAUAUUUUCAAAGCUUAGAUCAAAUACAGAUAUGAUUUUGUCAUCCUUUGCUUUAAAAAGCUUAAACUUUCUGCUGUAAUUUAUAUAAAAUCAAAAUCAUUAAUGGAUCCUAUAGUUGAAUAUCUUGCCUAUCCUUCCACCCCAGCCUAAUUAAAUUUAUUCGUCUUUCAGAUCUGAACUUGAACAUCAAUUCCUCAGUGAAAUUUUCCUGAAUUCCUUAUUGUAGUAUUUCUAAAACUGACUAGAUACAGCGCAUGUGGAGUAAAUUUUUAAUUACUAUUUAGGAGACCACCUAUCUCUGUAGAUUUAAAACUAAUACAACAGAGAUCCUUCAGAUUAAAUAAUCUUUUUUUUUAAUUUUGCUUAUAAUAAGCCAAAAUAUUCAAGCACAUCAAAUAUCUGAAUGACAUGAAGUUAAGAAGAAUAACAGUUAUAUAGCAUGCCAAUAUCUGUAGUCAAAAAGAGAAAAAUGGUCUCCUAGAAUACCAAGUCUUAUGGUCCCAAACAAGUUUGAAUUUAGCAAGGAUGUAACUAAACUCCUACACUAAUUCCAUAAAGUCAAAUGCAAAAUUGACAAAGCUUUUGUGAGUCUAUGAUUUAGUUGACCAAAUGCUUGCUGUGAAUUAAUGAGGAAGCAGUGGGACUGCCAAGUGAAAACAAUGCUACAAGCCAAAUUAUCCCAAUAAAUGAAAAGUAUCCAAUGCCAAAUCUCUAAUCAGAGCAGUCAUUUACUCUGUCCAUUAUGAACUGACUUUGUAAAGGAAAGAGGGUGUUAUAAGAAUUGGCUUAUUAGGAUAGUAAAGCAAUUGAAGAAAAUAAUGUUCACUGAUCAGGGAGUCAACAUAUCAAAAAUGGUAAGCCAGAAAAAGACAAAAAAUAGGGGGCACAACAGAUGACUUCAAGAAUAUCAAUUACUGUAAUUAGGAAUAGAGUUUAUAUAAUAACAAAAAAAUUUUGACUCAAUUUAUAAAAAAAAUUCUAACAGCUAAACAAAAUAUAAUGAACCCCAAUUGACCUAUUGACCUUCCUGUCACUCAGACAGAAAUUAGAUGUCAGUCUAAUCAGAAUUUUGAAAUGGGGUAUUCCCAUACUUGGUUAGACCUAAUGAUCUGUAAUGCUACUUCCAAACCCAAGUCUAUGAAUGAGGAGUAACUUACUAAAGAGGAUUAGAAUUAAAAAAUUAAUACUUUUAAAAUCAAAAUACAUAAUUUCAGUGUCAGGAAAGUUAGCAUUUGUGAAAGUAUUUUGCAAACUAAAAGCAAUCUAUACAGAAAAACUUUAUUAUUGAUUAGGAAUUGAAAGAAAAUCUGGUUUAAUAUUUUUAUAUCUAUAUUUAAGUUCUCAAAAGAAAAUUAUCUUUAACCUUUAUUUAUUAUUGAGAGAUAGAGAUAGAGGAUGAGCAUGGGAGGGGCAGAGAGAGGAGGAGACACAGAAUCCAAAGCAGGCUCCAGGCUCUGAGUUGUUAGCACAGAGCCCGACGCGGGGCUCAACUCCCAGACGUGAGAUCAUGACCUGAGCUGAAGUCCCAUGCGUAACCGACUGAGCCACCCAGGCGUCCCUAUAUUUAGGUAUGUUUUAUUUAAAAAUGCAAACACUAUUGGAGGCGUUAAGUGGCCGACUUCGGCUCAGGUCAUGAUCUCAUGGUUCAUGCGUUUGAGCCCAGCGUCGGGCUCUGUGCUGACAGCUCAGAGCCUGGAACCUGCUUCAGAUUCUGUGUCUCCCUCUCUCUCUGCCCCUCCCCUACUCGUACUUCGUAUCUCUCUCUCUCUCUCUCUCUCUCUCUCUCUCUCAAAAAUAAAUAAACAUUAAAAAAAAUUUUUUUAAUGCAAACACUAUUCAACUAAUACUCACGAGUAAUUUUCAUUUUUACUUGAAGUCUUAAAACUUAAAACUUCAGAGUUUAUUUUCUGUAUGGAAAAACAUUUUUUUAAGCUGGAAUUAUGUAUAUAUAUGCUAAGUACUUUAGCUUUAAAGAUACAAUCUGUAGAUUCAUACUUCAUUUUAAAAGAGAAGCCAGAAAUUUUUUGUUGCCCCAAAUAUUGUCCUCAUAUUACAAUGUAAGUAGGCCUUAUUUUUUUUUAGAAAGAAAGCAGAUUUUUUAAUCAAGAGUAUUGUAAGCAAUAAAUCCAUGUAUCUCUUAUUUGCUAAAAAUGUCACUCUUUUAUAAAUGAUAUAUAACAUGCUACAUAGGCAAAACCUUGUCAAAGCCAAUGAAUGUCUUGACAGUAUACAGAAUUUGGUUGUUGGCUUCUACAUUAAAGAAAAAUUAAGAUUUUCAAUUACAUUGCUUAUGCUAAAAGUUUAUUUAAAAACUGCAAUUAACUGUUCAUUCUCUAUAAUGAACUAAAAAAGAUAUUAAAUGGUGUGUGAAAAUGAGAAAUGUGUACUUGAUUUCAGGUUUAUGUUAGUUUUAAUGGAUAGUGUAAUACAGUAAUUACAAAUAUGGGAUAUAUUCAAAUCUUGCCAUCAGCACUUACUAAUAGUAUGGAUUUAGCCUGGUUCUGCUUUUCAGUAAGCGUCAGGGGUUUUGUUUGUUUGUUUGUUUGUUUGUUUGUUUGUUUGUUUGUUUUUGUAAUGAGUCAUAAUGUUUAAAAUACUGGGCAAAGAAACUUUACAUGGUACCUGGCCUAUAGCAAUCUCUCAAUAAAUGGUAAGAAAGAGGUACUAACUGUGUCAUUGGACUGUAUCCAACAUGUAGGCAUAGAGACUGAACUAUAUAGUCAUCUAAUAUUACCCUUAUCUAUUCUAUUCUUUCAACAAAUUAAAAAAUUUUUUUUUUGAGAGAGCAUACAUGCAAGCGGGGGAGGGGCAAAGAGAGAGGGAGAGAGAGAAUCUCAAGCAGGCUCCACACCCUCGAGGAGCCUGACACAGGGCUUGACCUCACAACCGUGAGAUCAAGACCUGAGCCCAAAUCAAAAGUUGGUUGCCUGGGGCACCUGAGUGACUUGGUUAAGCAUCUAAUUCUUGAUAUUAGCUCAGGCCAUAAUCUCAUGAUUCAUGAGAUCUAGCCCCAUAUUGGGCUCUGUGCUGACACCAUGGAGCCUGCUUGGGUUUCUCUCUCUCUCCUCUCUCUGCCUCUCCCCUGCUCUCUCUGUCUCCCUCAAAAAUAAUUAAACAAACUUCUAAAAAUGUUAAACAACAAAAAAAAGAGUUGGUCACUUAAUCAACCAAGCUAUGCAGGUGCCCCAUAACAUUAUCCCUAUCUGAUAGUAAUCCAAAGUGGAAAAAGAAAAAAAAAAAAAAAAAAAAAAGCUACUGUGGAGGUUCAAAGAGGUAUGCGAAGACAGAGGAAGGAAAGACUCAUUCUGACUCAUAGAAUCAGAAGAUUCCUGAGGCGAUAAUCUCACUUUAACACUGAAAUAAGUGUUAAAUGAUGGGUAAAAUUUCCACAGGUAAAAACUGUAAACAAUCAGUGAAGAGAUUAGCUGGUUUUAAGUAGUUAAUUAAGUUAUCCAGACUUCCUCCCAAUUUGUGUUCUUUCUACUUGGCUUAGUAAUUUUAUUUGACUUUAAUUACCUUUUAAAAAUGGAGAGUUUAAACAAAAUGAAGUAGAAGUACCAAUUAAUUUUUCUUUUUUAAUUAUACAUUCUUAGGCUUUAGAUAAAAUGUGAAAACCCCCCUUCAAGUAAGACCCAGGUGUAGCAUUCUACAUUCUUUUUUAUAUAUCUCGACAUCCUUCCUUACACGACAGUGCAUAAGAGUAUGUUCUUUAAACAGGCACCUUUAGUCUCAGAACCCACCUUUGUCACUCACCUGCAAUGUAGCAAGUUCUUUCAUUUCUGUAAUCCUCAAUUUCAUAUCUUUAAAAUGCAAACUCUACAGGUAUCUAUAUCACAGGUUUGGUAUAAGGACUGAUAUAGUAUAUGUUCAGUGCUAAGUGGAGUGUCUAAUUUGGAAACACUAUUAUUGGCAUAGUUAUCACUCUUUCUUAUUAGUCCAUUAAAAGAUUUUUAUAUAAAUUUUUAGCCCUGAUAGGCCUAUUAUAACAAUAUGGGCACUUUAAAAACAAAAUCGAAGGACACAAUUUUUAGUUUUGUAUGUAUGACAUUUAUAAAGAAAUUGUUAUGUUCAUGUAGAAAAAUAAGUAAACAACGAGUGAAAAAUUUUAGAAGUAAAAUAUUAGUAUAAUCAUAUUAGAAAAACUUAAGUUACUCAAAAAUAAGUAAACUCUUUAUGCCCACAAGAUACCAUCUAGCUUACUCAGUACUUGAAACCAUAUUAAAGAAUGUCUAGACUUUUAUUUUAAGACACUUCCACUAUAUAUUCCUCAAAACAGUAAAAGCCACUAUCCGUCAAAAACAACUAUCCACUGAGCAACAAGUAGUGGAAAGAAUAUCAUGAAGUUAGUUCUGUGAGAGCACAAAUCAUCUCUGCAUUUUUAAAACCCAUUCCGGGGGUUAGCACAAGACCUUGCUCAUAGUAGGCACUUAAUACAUUUUUGAGAAAUGAAAGGCAUGAACUGACUUGGAAACUUAUUUCUAAGACUGACUUUCCCAUGACUUAUCUGUGACCUUCAACAAGUCCCUUGAGUUUGUCUGGCCUUCUUUGUCUCCAUCGACAAAGAAAUUAAAAUUCCUUAAAAUUCUAAUCAGUAGAAGAAUCUGUGUAAAACAAUAUAGGAUACUUUGUAAGUAGGUUGAAGAAAGGUCAAAAACACCUCAGAAAAUACUGAAUUGAAUGGUUAAUUAAGCAUGUUCAAAUAGUCAAGAGCACUGGAAAUUUAGCUUUCUUACCACCAACCUGGAAACAUCCUAUAGGAGUUGAUGUUUCACAUAUAUCACUGUUAUGAAAAAGCUAUCAAUAUCUCUUUUCUGCUUCUUAACUCAGUUCCUCCUGCUACAGUCAUUUCUGCCUAGUCUUUGGUAGAGGUGACUUUUUUUUUUUUCUGUUUGUUAAUUCAGAGGUACUGGCCCAUCCUAAUAAAAACCAAGAACGAAAUAAAAAGUCAACUUAGGGUUCUGUUUGUUAUUUUUUAUUUACAGAAAGAAAAGAAAAAGUCUACCACUCAGGCAUGCUUUAAAUUAGAAACAGAGAACACGAAACACUAUUUACCAGAUAUACUUCAGUUUUAUAUUAGAGCCAAUUAAAGGAAAGAGAGUGAGAGAUAAAAAGAAAGGGAACCGAAAGGGAGGGGAAGAGAGAGACAGAGCUUUGGGAUUUGCCAAGCCCUGAGAGGCAAUGACUCUUACUCAUAAUGAUCCUUGGAAAAACAAAGCACAACCCUUUAGAUAAAAUAAAUAAAUAAACUUUACCAGAAUUAGUUAUAAAUUAUAUUUUAAUUAAUGUUUAAAAUUUGAGAGCAUAGCAAAUCUUGCUCUUACCCAGAUAAAGGGCUCUGUCUUCUUGCACAUAAAAGAGCAUAUAUAACACUGACUUGUAGGGGGGGAAAAGUGGUUCUUUUUUUUUUUUUUCGACAUCUUAAUUUUGCUGACAUUUCAGACAUUGAUUCCAAGUAAUUCCAAAGCCAAGUUGCACAUUUGCAACCCUAUAGACAAUGAUGUCAUUUCUAGGUAGUUGAGAUAAAGUCCUAAAUAAAAUGCAGCAAAAAAUCUAUCCAGUCGAUAGGCUAAAGCUUUCUUAAUAAAAUAAUCCUUUAAUGCUUAUAUUUAUGCUCUUCAGGAUAAGUGAUCCAGAUCUCACCUUUUUUUCCUUAGAUCAUAUCUGAAUAUAUUCAAUCAAUAUUGUGAACACUUAUCUCACUUCCAGUUUCUUCAUAUUAUCUCUUGAAACUAGAUAAAGUAUCAUUUUCUUCUUUAAAUUAUAAACUUUCUCCUGAAAACUGUUCAUGAUUCCAUCUUCAAGUCAGUUUUAAACAAAGCUAACUAUUUAAAGAAAUUCUACAUAGGAACAUAGAGAAGAAAGAGUCUUACUCUACAAACCAUAGCCUGAUGUAUUUGUCUUGGCAAAUUAGAACUUUUCACUUACAUGAGUUGUUUAAAAUCUGGCAAACCUGCCCCGUCAGAGGUUUGACAAUGACUGAGUUCGGAAACAGUCAUCAAGUGGUCCCUGAGUAACAUACUUCUCAGUGCCUAUCCAGAAUCAUCCUUGCUCUCUCAACUUUUUGGUACAUUUCUGUCAAUGUAAGUUUGUCAGGCACUAUGGUUCUGAGACCUAUUUUAUUCUGCUGCAUGUUUCCCAGGUGUCCUUCAUCUUAACAUUGAAUAAUGGUUAAUUAACCGCAGUAUUUCAAGUAACAUUUCAUUAGGUCAUAUGCAGUCUAUUUCCAAAUUAGUGAAUUUCAAUCAAUGUGCUGAAAUCCAUCUCCCUCAAACUAAACACAGUGAGAAGUGAAAACAUUCCUACUCAGUAAUGUGAGUCUUGGUUGGAAAGUUUUUUAAGUAUGCCCAUUGUAAUUAAAUAAUAAAAGCAUUGCAUUUCCACAUUAGAGUAUCAGAGCUGAGUAAGGAGACAGUAGUACAAGAAGUAAUAAAUUUACUCUAACAAAAACCAGUUCCACUAUGACAUAAUUGCUAUUACUGGUUUAUGGAGAAGAGUCCCAGGUAUAGAAAUUAAAGUAAAUUAACUGAAUUAAAUAAUUUGGACUUAUUGUAAACAGCAAACUUAUUACUUGAGUUAUAACUGAAUGUUAAAGAUCACAUAUUUCUGUUAUUAUUUCUAAUAAAUAUGUAACUUCUUUAUAAGUAUAUUUAAUCGAUUUUGCUUGUGUAAGCUGAAACAAGCACUAUUUAGGCAUCACAAAUUUUCAUGGAAAUAGAAUGACAAAUCAUUUUAAGAAAACGAAUGAUUCACUGCUUGAUACAGUCAUUUGAACGAGUUAAAAGUUAAUAAUUUGAGAUAGAGAACAUAAAUAAUGAUUUGAGAUAGAGAACCCCAAACUGAUAAUAUUUUUUGCAAUUUGGUUUUCCACUCUUGCAGGCAUAGUUUAUUUUCCUAGACUGUACCCAUGGACAUGACUAUAUAUUAGAAGAAAGCCAAAGUAAACCCUUUAAAGUAUAGCAUCUUUUUAGUAGUUAGGGAAAACAAAACCCAAAAAUGACUGAACAGUAUGCUGCUAACAUUUGCUAAUAGAACACUGAAAUGUAACACAAAAGAGUAUGAGCUUCAGAAUCAAAAAUCAUUUAGUAAAUUAUACUCUUUAAUUUUCUUCAUCUUAGACUAGAAAAAAAAACAAUGUGGAGUCUUGCCUUAUGCCUUUUUCACCCUGUCCUUUGUGCCCCUUAAAAACUCUAAGCUCAUUUUUUUUUUUGAACUUUGACUCAGAGUAACUUCUUAAUCUCCUUGGAAUGCUUUUCUCCCAUAUUCUUCUCCUGUUUCAUUUCUAUCUUGUGUCUCCCCUCACUCUGGCCACAGUAUUUAUCUAUUUCUUAAUCCUAUUUAAUUUCUAAAAAGGAUAUAACACUACCAGGAAUUACGUGAUGUAAUUUAUGUGUGAAUUUACCCUCCACCUGAGUGACAUCCGUAUUAUUCACAACUGUUUCUUCAAUACCUAGAAAUAUUACACAAUAUAUUACUUAUGCAUCAAUAAAUAGUUAUAAGUGAUUAAAUGAAUACUGAAAGAGACAGAAGUUUUAUUAUUUUCUCAAAAUUCAAAAUUCAAAUUCAACAGAUCACUUAAUAGGAUUGUGACCUGGAGCAACUUACUUCAAUUUUAUUAAAGGAUAAUGAUAUUUCAGGGGGUUAUUACAUCAUAUAAUGAGAGUGAAGUACUUACCUCUGUGUCUAUUCUAAAAGCUCAAUAAAUGGUGGCUGCCAUUAUUGCAAAUUUUAUCUCUAAAAGGGUCUUUUGGGGGAGUGUAAGAAUCACAGUCAUUCAGAAAGCCUGUUUCUUCUCUUGGCUUCCUGCCCGUUAGAAGAGCAGGAGGAACUCUUGCAUGGGGCAGCUCACACAUGAGAAAGCCUUCUGGCCACACAAAAUGUGCACAUCUGUUCCUUAGGCAGCCCAUAUUCAUAUGUUAUCUUAACUGAGCAACCUUGAAAGGCAGGGGCAAAGGAGAAGGGAGCAUGAUAGAGAAGAGCAACCAUUUCCCUCCAGAAGAACUUUCUUUGAGCACUUUGGUUGAAACACUCUUGUACGCUUCCUAAUCUGAUUAAAUGGAUUAGAAGCAGCCUCCAAAAAGAUCUAUUGAUAGAGGUUACGUGUAUUUUGUGUCAUACCUAUCCAGGUGAAUACAUCAACUCAAGGUUCCCUUCAGUAGACAAAAAAUAACCACACUGAUUUUCCUUUUUUUAAAAAAAAAGUUUAUUUAUUUAUUUAGAGAGAGACAGAGUGGGGGGAGGGCAGAGAGAGAGAAAGAGAGAGUGAAUCCCAAGCAGACUCCACACUGUUAGUGCACAAAGCUCGAUGCGGGGCUCGAACUCACAAACCAUGAGAUCAUGACCUGAGCCAAAGUUGGAUGCUUAACCAACAGAGUCACCCAGGUGCCCCGACUUUCCCUUGUAAUACAUGUAUUGAUUUCUGCCUGUUUCUUAGCUAUGUUCAGAUUAGCCUGGGCUUUCCUCUCAGAUACAUGGUUAAUGUUUUCUUGGGAAAAGAGCUGAGCAUUAAGAAACUAAAUUAGAUACACUAGCAUAAGAAAGCAGUACUUUUUAGACUGGGCUAUUCUUAUAUUGUUUAUAUUUCCUCUUUCCCUUACUAGUUUUGCUCAGGAUUAGUAUUGAGUGAAAGUAGUUUGGAAAUUUCUAUCUUAGGUCAAAACCAAAUGGGAAAAAAAGGCAACAUAUUUUGUUCAUAGUGUGGCAGAACUUUGAAUAUGGGACAGCAUAAUACUUGGGGCCUGUAUGAUAAUGAAAGCAGUCAUUUGGAGGCAACUCUGGGAAGGAUGAAAUGCCUAGGGAGAUAAUUCAGGUUGCUUGGUCUCCUGCUCUUCAUCACAUGUAAAUUAUCUUUCUAAUGCUAAAUGCUUUUGCUUUGUAACAAAAAGAUGGCAAUUUUUGUUUCAUUGUAUUACUUAAAACAUGGGCAAUUUUAGGUUACUAAAACUUGAUGCUAUUUUAUUGUUUGUGAGAGAAAACCAACAUUGGAGAACUUGAAUAAAAUCAGCCAUAUGACAGCUGUGUUAAAAAAAUAGCUAACUUAACAUGGAUGAGAUAUUAUGCCAAAAACACUAGACAUGAUUUAUCUCACGCCACCUUUCAUUCAAUCUUAUGAAGUAUUGUUAUCCCUAUAUUACAGAUGCAGAAACCAGGGAUUAGAGUUUUUAAAUAACUUGCCCUAAAUCAUAAUAUCAGUAGAUAAUACAGUCCAGAUUCAUUCUCAGGCCAGGUUUCAAAACCCACUCUGAAAUAUGUGUACUGACUUGAUACGACCUGCUUUUAAUUGUUCCAAAAGAGAACUGAGAGGCAUAGUUAGAUUACACAUGAGGUAUGAUGAUUUGUUGACACACUUACAUCAACUGCCUCUAACACUCUGAUUGUCAAAUUGCACGUUGAAAUAGAUUCUGGGGCACCUGGCUGGCUCAGUCAAUUAAGCGUCCAACUCGAUUUUGGCUCAGGUCAUGAAAUCAUGGUUAGUGAGAUCAAGCCUCUUGUCAGUCUCAUCGCUAACACCGUAGAGCCUGCUUGGGAUUCUCUCUCUCCCCCCAUCUCUCUGCCUCUCCCCUACUUGAGCUCUCUCUCUCUCUCUCUCCGUUUCUCUCAAAAUAAAUAAAUAAACAUUAAAAAAUAUACUCUAAAAUAAUCAUAUGUAAGAAUAUGAAAUGGAAACAAUCCAAACCCACAAACCACAUUUUCUAUUCUGUGGCUAUGCUAGGAUAGAAAGGGAUACUAUAACAUUAAAACAAAGCAGUGUGUUUUGUGAAACAUUCUCCAAGUGUAUGAAACAAUUGUUUUAAUAUUUUGAGUAACAGAAGCACAUUUAAAAAUUUACAGUAGGUGAAAUCGGUUGCAUUUGAAAAAAAAUACCUGAAUAUUUUUAGAGUUUUAUUUAAAGAAACCAAUGUGUUUAUCAAGGAUGUAUUUUGGUUUUCAUUUACCAAUUGAUUUUAUUUGUACUGAUGUACUUACAUGUGUUAAUGAAUAUGUUUAGAGAAAAACAAUAUGCAGCACUAGAAACAUUUGAGCAUUUUUACCACUAGGCCUUGAUAGAAAGCAUGUGUGGGACAGCAUCUGUCUGCAUUUAAGUUGCACAGAACCUGGAGGAAGAAAUGGAAGACACUAAAGCAAUAGCUAUAGGCUAAUAUUACAGAUAGUUGGACAUAUUUACACAACACAAAGUGAAUUUAUUUUGCAGCGGUUCAGUUUAAGACAACAAUAUGGACAGCUAAACUGGAUAUCAGGGUUCAUAAAACAAAGUAUUUGGCUUGAAUUCUAUAGGGUGGAUUAUCUAUGUUGCCCAUGUUAUUUAGACGAUUUUGUAAAACACUCAAAAUAAGCUUUAUGUCUCUGUACUGAAAUAAUUUCAUGUAUCCUCUUAAGUAUUUGGUUUUUAUAUUAAAUAUUUUAUUUAUAAUAGGAGUUCAUUCUAUUAUUUCAAACUUUUACCCAUCGUAUGGCUUUAUUUGUGUUCUAAAGAAAGAAAUGCAGUAUCUCUCUUCAUCACAGAGUAAGAGACUAAGAAGCUGUUCUUUUUGUUUGUUUUUGCUACUAGACUCAAAAUAGCUAUAUCUUUAGAAGAGAAUAGAUGCAGGCAGUUCGUUUUUACGUCCUUAACUUUCAAACGAGAUUGAGGUAGGAGCAGAGUCAUCAGAAAGGAGGGAAUUCUGAAAGGAACAGAUACUAUCAUAGAGGAAAAAAGGAAGCUUAGGUGUACACAAAGAAAGUUUAAAUUACUUUCAGCUAAUUAGUUAGCAUUCCAUUUUAUUUAUUUUUAAUCUUUGCACAUGUGAAUAUUAUGAAUCCCAAUUGUCAUAAUAUAAAUGCUGUGCAUUUUAUGUCCCUUAGCUUAUCUUUUGGCUCUUCUAUUACGAAUGUCAUUUUUAAAAGCCUUCUUUAGUGUUUGUUUUCCUUCAUUCCAACUUACUCUUUACAAACUUUUCUUAUUUUCUGUCUAAGCAAACCUUCCUAGUAUUUUGGCCAUAAUUUGAAAACUAUGAAAUUUUGUGUUUAUAUAUAUGUCUUAACCAACGGACCCAAAUAUAAGUGCGUUCAGCAGAAAGGGGCAAAAUAGCCCAGCUAAGGAAAACAUUUUAUUUUAUUUUUCCCAUGAUGGUAGCUGAGUUAUUCAAAUUCUGUUAUGAAAAAAAAGUGUAUAUUUGCAUGGGUGAGCAGUUUUUCUCUAUAAAUAAUUGGCACUGCACGGACACAGAAUAAACCCAAGGAAGGCAUUUUAAAAUAAGACCAUGUGGACAUAUUUUACAUGUUCAUAAUGCUCAUCAUAGACGAGUGAUCAAUUACAAAAUAAAAAUAAAAAUAAAUACAUAAAUAAACUAUACAUAAUAUAAAUGAUCCUGAAAAGAAUAUUCUUUACUAGGUCUUUUCUCACACUCAUUAAUUUUCUUCACUCUCAGCGAACAUAAAACACUUGUCACUGCUGUGGUAUUUUAUCAAAAGAGAGCCAUCUUUGUAUCAAUGUUGACUUUACUUAAAUAGUAACAGCAGUCAUGCCACUUCUCUGUUAAAAAAAAAAACUUUUGGAGAUUCUUCUUUCUAUAGAAUACCAUCUAUGCUCUGUUUUUUGGUCCCUGUCCACACCUCCCUACCUCACGCACUGCAAAGUCAAAUCAAGGACUCUCGAAUAUGAAAACACUAGCAGGUCUCAGCUGUUUCUAUUCUGAAGGGUUCCAGCUGGAUUUCACAUACUUGUCGCAUAUAACUGUCUUAUGCUCAAUGAUCGACUUAAGAGCCAUCUCAUUCAUGAAGACUUUUCAUUGCCUCCCUCAUAGCACCCACUUCUGUGGAAGGCAUGUAAGUGAAUACGGAUUUGGAUUGAAUUCACUUCUAGACCCUUUAAAAUACUAAAGCUAUAUAUAAAGUCACAGAUCUAUACCUGGAAGAAAUUUCAGAGACAAUAUAGCUUAAACUUUGCUUUAGAAAACCUUAGCAUCCCACCCUAACUAUAGUAUCCUGGGCACAUAGUUUACUUAGGGUAAGGUGAUAUAGUGAUAAAAUUAAGUUAAAAUCUUCUUAAAGUUUCCAAAGUAGAAGUCAUUAGUUUGUAUUCUAUAGGAUAGAUUAUCUAAAUUGACCAUAUUAAUUUCUGUAAUGAAAUCCUUCCUCAUAUCUUCCUACAUUUGUGUUUAGUUUUGAUAUAGUUAUUCAGUUUCAAAAGGAUUCCUUUCUAGUAGUUUAAAACGUUACCCAUAAUAAACCCUCAAAUAAAUGCUUCUUGAAGAAGAAAGAACCUGAGUUGGUCUUUGAGCAUAAGUAAUUCAGUCAUAUGUGGACAAUCUGGUAAGGUAGAUGUGGAUUCAAUCUGAGGAAUAGUAUUUCCUGUCAUUAAUAAUGACUUUUCCUAAAAUUUAUUUAAUUUUAUUUUACAUAGGAGGACCUCCAGUAAAAGGUGGUAAUAUUUUCAUAUCUCACAUAUGACUGGGCCAAUUAGAAAAAAAUUCAGUAGAGCUGAACAAUCUCAUUGAUUGCUAAGUCUAUAUUUGUAUCAGUUUAUCUACUCUGAAUACAGUGUUAUCUUUCUCAUGCUUGGUAUGCAUAAUCACUACCACCACACAGAGGCUCUAUAAACAGGACAACCACAAUCAUAAACAGGCUAUAUAAACAGGAAAACCUAUGUGGUAUAGUGAAAAGAGCAUUAUCUGUGUGAGAAUCUGACAGACCCAAAGUUUUCAAAUUAAUCAGUUGUAGGAUUUUUUAAUCCAUUAUCUAACUUCACUGAAUCUCAGUUUCUACAUUUUUCAGAACAAAUUAAAAUAUUAACCAUGGUAAGAGAUUAAUAGAAGAAAUUUAUGUAGAGGUCCUGUAUAGGCAAACUUCCUGUUCCUAUGUGUGUCUCCCCAUACUGAAGCAACUCAUUUGUCUCUGUUUUAAAGCAUUAUAGGUUUUCCCUAAUUAAGAUUUUAUUGAGUGAAUCUUGGGGAGAAAAAAGAAUUCUUCCAUAUUUGGAGCAGCUGCUAUGAACUGUGAAUGUAUCUCAUUUGAACUAUUAUUAAAAAAAAUAAAAUAUGUGAUUUCUCUUGCCUUUUAGGAGCCUAAGUUGCCAAAGGAUUACCUUGCACAAAAAUCUAUUUUUCUCCUUUGUUUGUAACUCUGUUGUAACAAUCAUUCAUCUCACUG